AAAAAAAACCUGACUAGCUUGGAUGGAUGUCUUAGAGGGAUUCAGUAGGAGCUAGUGGAGCUUCAUGUUCAUUUUCUGAAAAAACAUUGGCUAUCAUUUAUAUAUGAAUAAGAUCCUUCCACCAGCUCCCAUGGGAUUCAUCUAACACAUCCAUCUAAGAUUCGACAAAUAUUCGAGUUUUCUAUUUUUGCACACUAACAGGUUCUUCCAUAACGCAAUCAUGUGGAUCAUUGUGUCACAUAUAAAUUAUUUCUCCGUUGAUUACCACAAGACAUACCACUAGUUACUUUUGACUUUCAUUUAUAAAGACUUAAUUAUGAAACAGCCAUCUUCAUCACUUGCAAAUAUUUAAAUUGGAAAUCAUAUUUCUCACUAACUUGCUCUUGGAAUUUGGACUUCUUUGAAUCUGGAAAAUUAACUUUGUCAUAGUUGUGGAGAGGGAAGGAUUUUUUUUCCAUCCGCCGUGAUAGCCACUAGGGUAGCAACACAAGAAGAAGGUGUCAACCCGACACUCCCCAAACCCACUAGUUUCUAAAAACAAAAAUACUAAGCAAACGUGUAGCCAAAAUACCACCUCUUAUAUACCUCUAAGAGUUAAUUUGAUCCGCUCUAUGUAAUCAAAUAAAGAUAGACAUUUUCAAUUAUAUUUAUCCGAUCUGCAUGUAGUUUCGUUGAUCCAGUAUGUUCACAUCAACUAUGGUGAAACAAUCGGUUGACACACAGAAGAGAAGACCUCAGAGAGUAGCAAGCAGCGACUUCAAGUUGUCUUCAUAAUUUGGAAGCUCGCUACUUGAACACAUCAAUCUGUUCAAUUGUUUCUUGGCCAGCCUCCAUUUGCCGCAUCUCAGUCCCGAUGGUGUUAGAGAUUAACAUCCCUGAUGCAUCCCAUACCUAUCAUAUUUGCAAGAAAAUGGAAAAAAUUAAGUACAUAGCUAGUAGUCUAACAUCAAACUGGACACAUCUCUACGACAUUAAUUUGUAGUACACGCUCAGAAGCUAGAGCCCAUCUGUUACAUACAUUUUAAACAUUUCAAUGAGUGGCAUAUUGUAAUAGCUAGCUAUGUAUAUAUCCAUCUACCUAGAUUCAUUCAAUGCAGCAUGGUUUGAAUAAAGUGUUAUUACCACCGUUUAUCUUCUUAUAUGCAUCCUUACACUAGUAGAAAACAAUGCCUUCGUCACAGCCGGAUCGGAGCAAUAUAUAGUCCCGGCCUCGUUACGAAUCGGGACUAAUGUGAGCAUUAGUGCCGGUUCGAGCGGCGCAGGCAUCAGUCCGGUUGGAGACACCAACCAGGACAUAGUGCUCAACGUUUUACCGUGUACCUAAAUGCUAUUGUUGGGUUACACCAUUAGGAUCGAUCACAUGCAUGAUUCCAUGAACACACAACAAACAUCAUAUGGCCAAAGGCACAACAUGCACCUUGACUGUUCUCUUUAUUUGUGGCUCAAACUCCACGGUUGUACAACUUGUGCUUGCAGCACUAUACAUAUGCAUAUCUCUACAAACCUAUAAGAUGGUAUUCUUACCUGGCUUCUAGGGUAACCCAUGCGCGAUACAAUCUCCAAUAUCAGCUCUCGUCUGGGGAACAUCUAGGUCAUUCAUUUUUAAUGGUGGGUUGACUCUGUUCCACUCUAGGUUAAAUCCAUAUGCAUUCGCUCCACAAGACGCACCUUCCAAUGGGCUAGGGUCGCUACGACAAACGGUACCCCCAUCGCAUUCGUAAUUAAUUAGUGCCCAUUCCCCAAAUUUUGUUUGCCUCCUUCGCGGUGUAUCCCUCCUGCAUUGAAUCAUCAUGACCCUCUUCAGCCAUGUCCAGCUAUGACAGAUUUAGUCUUCUGGGUAGUGACCUCAGAACUGGUCAUGGAGAGCUCGGUUAGGGCCACUUGGUUAGCGUUAGUCUUUGAUGGUGUAUGAAAGGUAGGUUACUGGUCUCAUCAAUUGGAAGAGAUGUUGUGCAUUGCAACAAAUGUAUUGGGCAGUCCUUCUUGCAUGCUUCGAUGGUUGUGGAGAUUUUGGUUAUGCUAAUUGAUAUAUAGAUCUGACUGUCUGUACAUUUGGGUUAUCAUUGCAACUGGUCGAUUGAUCUGGCUCGCUUCUCUACGGUGAUUGAAAUAAGAACAUCGCUGGUGCUACAUCUGUUUUGACAUUUAAUUAGUGCCAAAAAAAUUCCCUCGUAGGAGGUUGUGGCUUGUUGAAACUACUAGGCAAAAACUUAUAGGUAGAGGCUUAGCAGUAACGCCUGCCAGAUGUGGCCGCUACUGCUAAUUAUCAGUAGGGUGGGGCGCUAAAGAGCGCUAAUUUUAUAUAGUUACCAGUAGUGCGGGUAAGCAGAAAAGCGAUGUUGGUGUGUGGUCCCUUCAGUACCCACCAGGGUACGUAUAGUAGUAGUGUGUUUUUGUGCUACCACGCUACUGCUCAAUAUUUAGCAGUAGCGCAGGUCCGGAGGCCACCGUGGCAACAUUACUUGCACUGUGGGUCCGGUUUUGCCGCGCUACUGCAGCCACCUUUCCCAAUCCCCCUGUCCCCCGCCCAUCCUCUCUCCCUCACUUUCUUCUCCCCCAUUAGUACUACCUAGCUUUGUUCUCUCUUCUCCUAUCUCUCAUCUCUCUACUGUAAUGCCCCCUCCACCAUCUCCAUUAAUGCACACAUUUUCUCUCUUACUUCCUCACUUUUCUCUCCUCCCUCCACUAGUUAGAGCUAGCCAUCUCCUUCCCCAACUAGCUAGAUCUAUCCAUUUAUUAAGUGGAACCUAUCAACUCCCCAACUAGAUCUAUUCUUCAAUAUAGUAAAGCCAUCUAGUCACCGUGCUUCUCACUCUCGAUAGCUAGGUGAGUAAAAAAAUGUGAUCUGGAAGAAUUAAUGGAAAAUAUGUAUGUGAUAUGACCGAAAUUGUACGUGUCUCAUGAAUUUCCGCCUAUAUGUUUAUUUGCCGAAUUGUGUGUGACACGAGAGUUGCUUAUGUUUUGCUGAAACGUAGAUUUAUUUCCGUUUCGGCGAAUCUCGGGCAAACUCUGUAUGUUCUUUUUAUAAGGAAGGUCAUGCUGAAUUUUUGUAUGACUUUCAUGCAUGCAUGGAUGCGUUUAUAAUCCUUCUGCUUAUUAAUUAUACCACGCAUCCGGUCAUGAAGGUUGGUGGAACAAUGGUGGAAAGAUGGUUGCGAUCCGCGGUGCACGACAUGCAUGAAAAUAACCGGAAUGAGAUUUUAUGUCCGUGUCGAAGACACAAAGAAGGAGUCUUGCUCGACCCUUUUAAGGAAGGCCGUUUGAAAGCGCACCUACUCAUGACUGGUUUCAUCGAUGGCUGUACUAGGUGGAUAAGUGAAGAUGAUGACGUCGAUGGGGAAGCCUAUGACGACAUUGGACCACACGACGAGAUGACCGAUAAUGGCGGCGGAAAAGAGGCCGGACAUGAUGGAGAAGCCGCGAACACGCUGCAGCAUUCUUUGCUACUAAGUUCAAUCCUAUGUGAUCCUCAUGUUCGAGACAAGCUUCGCAAGAAGACGACUAGCGACAAUGCAUGCUACUUCUAGAGAGGAGUCUAAGCUGGAGCAACUAGAGGUAGAAUUGAAGACUCCAUUAUAUGGUGGCUGCGUUCUAGAGAUGACCUGCUUGAGUUUCACGCUCGAACUUCUAAAGACAAAGGCUGGAAACAAAUGGACUGACAGAAGCCUCGAUGAGCUUCUCAGGUAUCUAAAGAACAUUCUCCCCGCAGGGAACUUGUGUCCUACUAGUGUCGAUGAGGAAAACAAAAUCGUAUGCCCUCUUGAUCUUCCGCACAUUAGAUACCACGCAUGCAUCAACGGUUGCAUCAUUUAUCGGAAGGAGCACGUGGAAAAAACCAACUAUCUGGUGUGCAAUGCUUCUCGAUACAAGAAAGCCGAAAGGAAAUGUCCUCAGAAAGUUGUAUGUUACUUACCUAUCACUCCCCGUUUGCAGCGUUAUUUCGUAGAUCCUAAGGAAACAGACCUCAUCUAUUGGCACGCGGAGAGGGUGCAGCCCGACGAUGGAGAUGAUCCAAAGCUGAGACACCUCGCGGAUGCAAGCCAGUGAAGAGCGUUCAACACUGAAUAUCGAUAUUUCACAGGAGAUCCAAGGGACAUUAUGCUUGGCGUGAGUACCAAUAGCAUGAAUCUGUUUGGCAACCAGAACACCAACCAUAGGAUAUGACCCGUUUUUGUAUGAAUGUACAACCUCCCCCUGGAUGCGCAUGACAACAAAGUACAUGCACAUGAGAAUGCUGAUUUAAGGGCUGAAACAGCUGGGAAAUAUAUCCGCAAAUAGGCAGAAUCCUUAUGAGACAAACUGGAUUAUAAACUAAUAGAUGACUUAUUUCGCAUCCAGAAGGAUAUUGCAACGAUCAUCAAGAAAGAAGUUAUCGAAGAGAAGGGGGUGUUCCACUAUGGCCCUAUAUCACGAGCUGACAUGUGAACUCGCAUAAGCCUACAACGUCUGGACCUGACGCCGUUCACGAAGUUCAGGUGCAUCCUCCAGGAUCUGGAUGGAUGAAACUUCGAUUGAUUGACGAUGCCGAUGAUGAUGUGUUGGUUGAACCUUUAGUUUCUCUAGCGAUAAAACUUUGGGAUGUCAAUAGUCAUGCUGAACUUGCGUAAUGCUAGUUUGUUAGCUUGGGUACGAUGACCUGCGUACAUCUAGUUUGUUGGUUUGGGUCCUAUGAACCUACCUUGAUUAAUUAUGUUUACUAUAUGUUGAAUCUAUUUGCUAACUCUUUCAUUUCGUGUUGCUCAAGUAUUUUAUGUUGCAUAUUAUUGCUGGAUUCACUUGAUGAAGAUGCAUCUCUAACAGGUACAUAGGUCAUUGAUGGCGAAGAAGUACUAUGCUGUGUACAUAGGGAGGGUUUCAGGAGUGUACGACGAGUGGCGAGAGUGUCAGGUCCAAGGAGAGGAGUUCUUGGGCAGCAGCCAUGAAGGGUUCGAUAGCAGGCAAGAAGAAGAAGCUAGUUACUUGAGGUUCACGCUAGCGCGAGAGAGGAAUCAGAACCGGCGCCUCACGACUGCAUAAUUCUGCACUUAGUCAUAGUGAUAGCUCUUCUCUUCUAUAUCAUUUUUUAGAUGGAUGGUGAUGUAGUUGCAUGUAUUCGAGACAUGACAUAACUUGUAUGGCUUUUUCAUGAUGACAAGAGACAUCAUUUGUGUUGGAUGAUGAUUAUGAUGAUGACAAGAUUUGAUGAGACUAUUUGUAUCGGUAUGAUAUGAUUAGAUUUGUAUGUGUAUCAUAUGAUGAGACUAUUGUCUGUAUGAUAUCAUAGAGUCCAUUGUAUAAAACAUGUACAAACACAGAGGAAAUAUGCUGCAGACAAAAAUUCAGAAAAUAAUAACAGUAGGGAGGGGUAUGUGUGUAGCAACAACGAGGCUUUAGGGUUCCGUGCCGUACAGUAGCGCGAGUGGCAGCGCUACUACUAGGCGUUUAACCCGCACUACUACUAGGCUUUUCCCUAGUAGUGUAAUAUUAUAGAUUUUUCUCUAGCUGGCAGCUCAGAAAUAGCGUUUGGCCUAUAGAUGUACUCAGUUAGGAUGGGACGAUAAGGUAGAGAUAAGAAAUAAUGUUUAUGUGAUAAUGCACUAUCAUGUACAUAAUUUUUAUAUAAAUUAUAAAUGUAAAAGGGAGGGAAGCAAAUUGUUCCUCCUAAAAAAAGUAGACAAAAAAAAUCACAUAUCAACGCUCUAGCAUUCAUCAUUGGAUGGCAUUAGAUAUUAGAAUUAUAUAGGAAAUUUAAGGGCAGUCCAAAAUAGUGAUCUAUUUAUAUCUUCUAAUUUUGGCAAAAAAUACAAGCUAUAUAUAAUGUAACACGCACGAUGAUUCUCUUGAAGGUUCCGCCGUGUGGUGUGUGAUUUAAUAUCUCAAACUGGGGAGUACAACCUUGAAUUUCUCGAGAAAUUUUAUCAUGGGUAUAAAUAGCGCGGUAUAUCAUUUAUAAGAGAUCCUGAGCUAAGGGACUUAGGUCCAAAGACAUGAACAAACAUUUUUAAUAGUGCGCUAUAGCACGGUUAUAGCGUGCUAAAACGAUUAGAGAGGUUCGCAACGAAGAGGCAUAGCCCGCUAUUUAAAUUAUGGAUUUUGCCAAAACCUUGUAGACAGAGGUUAUGGCAUAAAGACCUUUUUGUGCCAAUUUUAUUUAAAUGAUGUUCUUGCAACAGAAUAUUCCAGAGGGUUGCAUAACUUGUUCGUAGUAGUUAUAUUAUGGGGGGCAACCUAAAGCCUUUGAAACACUAUAUAUGUUUAGCCAAUAAGAAUCCAUAACCAAUACAGUUGAGCUAUUUGUGACCGUCAACUAAUUUUAUAGGGAUGGAUUCCCGGCUCACUGAUAUACGUGUUACAUUCAUGAGCCUGACUCAAAAAUGAGAUCCCAUGGUUUCCACUCUACUUGAGUAAGUUUCUUGGGUCCCAAGUUAUUGUUAAUUAGCUGCCCUAUUAUGUCAGAGCCGAUUCCAGUGUUUCUGUGUGCUACAAAUUAUAAUGGUAAUACGCCAACUGUCCUCCCUAUCAGGAUGCCUUCUUUCAGUAUGUCAUGUGAAAUAAAUGUUUUCUACAUAUUGCUAGAUACCUGUUUUUUGUACAGUGACUACCCAUUACAAGCGUGUAGAAAUCUGAUAGCUGACCAGUUUGGCUUCCUUUAGACCACUCAAGUCAAAGAAUACCUGCCCAUGACACCAUCAACGAAUUGCAUAACUGUAAGAAAAGCUUAUCCUAGUCUAUCCCAUGUCUAGACCAAAAUCUACUGCAGCACAAGCCAUCGAUGGUGCACCAUAAAAGAGUUAAUCCAAGUAAGAAUAUUCUUACUCUCUAGUGAAAGAAGUGAUAUUGACUUGAAGUUCGUAAUAUGUAUAUGUCUUCAGGGGAGAUGCUCCUAUGUUUCAAUUAUACUCCUAAUGCAUUACUAUGGUAAUUAUAACCCACCGUAAAAAAAUGUUAAUACCAUUGGUUAUGAAUGACUACUACAUGAAUCACCCUAGAAUGCUCAAGGAUUACCUGGCUGAGUAUGUAUAGUGCAUUAGGAGCAAAUUGAAAAUAGAGACAUUUUAUUACUUCAUCACCAAAUUUGUUGACCAUUCAGCUAUCAACUCUCAAAAUUAUGUAGCCAUUAAUUAGCUCAGGAGCACAGCCCAGACAUCCAAUCGUUUGAUAUCGACCCCCUUUUAUCUUCGACGAAUUGCUACAUCUAAUAGCACAAGACAAGUAAUCAGGCUACAUUUCUUGUCUUUGAUGAGGAUCGUCGUGAUUUUGGUUUAAAGCAACUGCAGUUUCCAUUGUGACGAGAAAUGAUUUUCCUAAUGUAUCCCAAGCCUACUAAAUAGUGUCCUAUGGCAUCAUGCAUUCAUGCAAAUCAAAUACUCUUUGCGCAAAUUUAAACUAGCCAGAAGGGCAUGCAACAAAUUGGCAACCUUGUUGCAAUGAUGUAUAAGAAUGUUGAAACAAAAGAGUGAUAAAGUUACAUAGUAUCUAAUUGAUGUGUAUUUAUCCACAACUACACACUGGCCAUGCAGAAAUUAAGUUGCACGUCUACCAUGCAUGUUAUUUUGUCAUGCCCCAUCUAUUAUAUGAACGUAAGUCGUGACAUGGGACAGCUCGGCUCAUUGUAAUAAUUAGAAAUCAUCAAUUCUAGAUUUCUACCACAUUUCGUGUGGUCCAAUAAGAUGGUAGAAUUUGUUUUAUACUCCCUCUGUAAAGAAAUAUAUGAGUGUUUAGAUCACUGCUUCAGUGAUCUAAAUGCUCUUAUAUUUCUUUACGGAGGCAGUAUUAAUUCCUACAGAAGUAGUUUAAUCUGAAACAAAAUGUCAUGUGUUUUUAAAUAGCUUGCAUGUAUGUUCUAAAAAACUGUUCAAACAAUAUAGAGAAUAUAUUAAUGUAAUGAAAAUGACAAAUACUAAUAUAUAUUUAAAAAUACAUAUGAGUCAUUUUAUUACUUCCCACUGAAUUUAUAUUCUGUUAACAUCUUGAAUUGGGCCCGCUUCAGUACCCAAACUGCAUCCAGCGAAACGUUGAACAUUCUUGUUUUUAUUUUGGAAGGAGGUGUGUGGAUGUUUGUGUGAUAGAGAACGACAAAAACUACACAUAGCCAAUAAAGCCGCAGAGUACUGCCUGUGGCUAUCGCCAGGCUUGAGGCCAUCUCCUCCGAGUUAAUUCAGACACUCGGCAUGAUCAAAGAAAAAUUAAGGUUGAAUUAGUAUUAGCGCGGGUACAGGACAGAAGCUACUGCUAAGUCCCAUAGCAGUAGCACGGGCUCAGCGUCCCACGCUGGUGUUAAUUGGGGCCCACGUGACGGCAUAGUGCAAGAAUAGUUGCAGCGGUAGGCAGGCUACACGCGCUACUGCUAUGGUCUUACUAGUAGUGCCAUUUUGGAUGACCGCGCUGCUACUAUACUUAGCCUGGUGGCCAGUGGGGGUACCACUUAUUAGCAGCGCCGUUUGCCAUGGCCGCGCUACAUGUUACCGGCUUACCUGUAGCAUGCGUCUACGACCCACGCUAUUGUUAAGUAGUAGUAGCGCAUGUCCUUUAUCCGUGCUACCGUUAAGCUUCUACCUAUAAAAUUUUCCCCAGUAGUGGAGCAUGUAGGAAUAUAACUGAAACACUUCGUAUAUCCACACUAAAAAUGACAAAACUCAUAGAGCUGCAAACCUAUUCUACAAAGCACACAAUCACUUACAUAGCGGUUGCACCUAUCGGGUGAUAGAUUUGUUUGUGCUUUUCUCAUGUCGACAAUUAUUAAGAAUAAAAUGAAUCAACAAUAUUAGAUUUUUUAUAAAGUUGCCAAUGUAUCUUUGGUAUUUACUACCAACACAAUAAUAUGAUUAUAUACGAAAUAAUGGUCAAAGAUAAACCUUUCCAAGUGAAUUGUUUUCUAAAAUAUUAUGUUUGAUGCUAUUAAGUAUAUAAAUAUAAUAAAAAAGUCAACACAAGAGAAAAAUUAGCACUUAACACUUACACAAAAUAAGGAUGAUGCCCUCGUAUUUGCGAGGGCCACCCUGCUAGUUUGCAGAAACAAAAUUUGCACAGCUCGACAUGCCUGACUCAAAAUUUGCCACCCUGCUGGUUUACAUGUGCCAAGCCUCUUGUUGAAUGCAUAUCUUCCUGUUGCAAUUUCUUUAUGAGUUUCCCAUAGCUCAAUAAAACUGAUGGUCGUGCAUCAAUAUGUUUUCUUCCUAUUAGGCUAAAUACUGGUAAUAGUUGUUUUUUGACAAGAACACCGACUUAGUCAUUGAUUAGGGGAAAACUCAAAUGGAAAUAACAGAAGCACUAAAAGUACUGUAAUUAACCUUGGGGUUGUUGGCAGAGGCUUCAAAUGUGACAAUGUCAAUCUUCAGAUGGCAACAGAUAGUUGAAAUAUGAUUUAGCUAAAUAUAAAGUUCUGAAAUCGCCAAGAUAUGCCUGACACAACAUACACGAUGUUUCUACUUAUUUUCAUGUUGCCUUAGUGGUCAAUACUCAUCCGCAGAUGUGUAUACAAGUAGCUACAUAAAAGUGGGUAUCAUUCAGAAUUUAAUCUGUUAUUUUUUGUCAAUGCUAUUGCAUUUGUUUCCCAUGUUUCAUAUUUAAUUGCAGUUGGUCUGAAAAUUCUCCAUUGCUGUUUGCCAUGAUGGCAGUCUUUGCGUUAGUCGAGGAGGGUUGUAUAAACCAUUUUGCAUAUGUUCUUGUGCAUGUGUGAAAUGUUGUCCUUUAUGUAAAGUUCAUGUUUUAUUCUGCUAGCAUUACAUGCCUCUUACAGGAGUGUAGCUUUUUGUUUAUAUAUCAGGUAUUGAGCUGUACUAACAUCUCAAUCUGGUAGUAUAGUUUAGAUUUCAUACUAAAUUUUCUUAUGAUAUACUAUAGUUGAUCGGAGCUUUGACAAGGAUUAAGGCACCAAAAUUGGAUUGACACCUCGAAGAAGUGAAUGAUGUUCGAGACUUGGUAUGAAGGUAGUGUCGCAACUAGGAUUCUAGUCGUAUGAUGCAAGGCUGCUGAGGGUGUGGAUUAAUCUCCCAGGACUUGAAAAACUAUUUGUAGCUGCUACACCUGAUAGUUCAUGUACAAUGAUGUUUAACAUUGGAACGGUUCAGGAUCUGUUUGAUCUAUGCCCCCUUCAACGUCUUUAUGAAAAUUUAGUUCGAUACAUAAAUUAGUUAGAAACAACGAGAGGGAAAACAAAGGAAAAACUGAAGAAGACAAAAGAGUCUUCCUAGAAAAAACAGGCUUCUGUUCGAUUUUUGCAGAAAAGCUGGAGGCUGGAAUGGAAACCCCGAGCUGUACAUAGCGGACAACUACAAGACAUCGGGUGCUUCUUGUUCCUCCUCUCCAUGGCAACUGUUUUGUCUUGUGUGGUCAGGGGUGAUAGAGAAGAAGCGUGGCAUUGCCGUUGAAGAUGAAUGAAUAGGAGCUACCGCUGCCGUAGCCUCAGGUUAUUGUUGGAUACCAGAUCAUUAUUGCCCCCGUCACCGUGAAGCUCCGGUAGGGUUUUGUCUUGUUUUGAUCUCUUGGUGUCUCAGGUUAUUAUUGGCUUGAUUUCGUUAAGUUUCACCCGUUUCCUUUUGUGAUAAUUGUACAGUAUGAGUCCCAACAUGUGUUUUCUGACUUUUGACCUAUAUAUUGACAAGUGCAAAUAUUGUUGUAUCACAAUUAGAGUGAUUGCAUUUAAUAAGUUGCUAACAUGGCCACAAAUACAGUAACAGACAAUUAAUACCCCCAAUAAGCGUGAAUUUUUUUUUCUCCUAUUCGUGUGAGGUUGGUUAUGUUUGAACUCCAGCAACAAAAUAGCUAAUAAAACCAAUAGCUAACAUGUUGAACUUGACUUCAUAAACAGUUUCUACAUUUAUUGUUUUAGGCACAUAAUGUUGGAGUGAUUGGUAAUUACAUAUAUUUUCUUACUUCCAAUUUCUGGAAGUAGUUAAUAAAUGGAUGAAUGCCAAUAUGCUGCACCAAUAAGCAAGUUGUAUCAGUCUAGUUUUUCGUUUUAAUGUCAGAAACUCAUUCCUCAUUUCCCGAACCUGGAGAGAGAUUGUAUCCAUAUUUGGAAUAUAGGGAUUCAAGGAUACCCCGUCCUCAAACUAAAUACUACUACUAAGUUCUACUGCCUCUGUUCCCAAAUAUUUGUUUUUCUACAGAUUUCAACAAGUGACUACAUACGAAGCAAAAUGAGUGAAUCUACACUCUAAAAUAUGAAUACAUACAUCUGUAUAUUGUAGUCCAUUUGAAAUGUCUAGGAAGACAAAUAUUUGGGAAUGGAGGGAGUAGUAUGUUAGACGAUGUCCCUCGAAAGGUAAAGUGACUGAACCUAAGAAGCAAAACAGAAAAACCCGUAUCGCUCACCAGGAUCAAUGGGUACUAGAAGGCAGCUUCUCAUAUCAUCGAAAAAAGAACCAAGUUCAUCGUUUGAACUUGACUGGGUUGCAGAAUACUUCCAUUUCUUUGUCAUGGCAGAGGAUCCUGAUGCCUCACUGACUAGCAUUUCGGUGCCAACACCUUGUUCUGGCUGCUCUGUAUCAGCAUAUGAGCCUCUGCUAUCGCAAGUUGGUCUUGUUCUGAAUCCGCAGAAUGUUCUGUAUGCUCACUUUCGUGGAUCAGUUAUCCUUAGCAACGAAACUGUCGGUCUAUUUGGAUGCUCCUCAGCAGCCUUUUCCCAAGCUUUUCUUGCCUCUGGAGUGAUACUACUAGGAUCAAGAGUGACUUCCUUUAGACACCGGAGUCGUUUGAUUUUCAUGUUAGUGACAUGAGAGAUACGACAAAGUAAGCUCCUUCAUCGAUCUUCCGUACACAACAUAAGCACGGCUAGCAGUCUUGGAAAUGGCCGAUCUCUAAUAAUGGACUCCUCAAGUUGAUCUACAAUCAGCUUGAGAUAUUGCAAGGAUCUCUACUCGGUCGUCAAAGCUUCAAGUAGACUGACGCGUUGUAAGUUCAGUUGAUGAAAGGCACAUUUCCCUGAGACUGCAUUGUUAGCAAUUUAACAAAUUGAGGCAGUUAAAGCAACUUGCUAUUUAUUUUCAGUGUUCUAAGAUAACAGGUUGCUUUUAAGUAAAUGAGGAUGUCCACUCAGCAGUGCACAUAUAAAAGUGAGGUGAAAGAGCAUGGGGCUCAUCGCUCUCCUUUUCAUCAUGAAGGAACCUUUGAAUAGCAUACUGAAGAUGACACAAGUUAGUGCUACUUGCAAUUCUCUCACCUUGGUCAAUUGUUUCAUGUGACUUAUGAUUUGUGGAUACCCUUGGCUUUCAUCAGCGACAAAUCCUGCUAGCUAGUGUCCCCAAGUUGCAUUGUCCUGACAAGAAAAAGUUGUGCAGUUCCAAAAUCUUGAACUUUCGAAACAGAUGGAUUAACGCGAGGGUGGUAGCAGGAUGACUUGUAUGGGUAGUAUCUCCACCGUGGUUUGAGUGUCUCUAGAAGCCUCAGUUUUUCUAUUCCCUUUGAAAGGCUUGAAAAAGAUUUCCCAAGGCUCAAAUAUAUUAUAAGCUGAAGGUAGUCUAUGUAUUUGAGAUGAUCAUCGCCCAAUUUCGCACAUUCUACACUUCAGAAAUUGACACUUGUGGAGAUCAAAAUUGGAAUCACCAGCCUCCCCAAAGAUUGCAAGAGACCUUGUCAUUGUUGUUGCUACAUCCAUGGGCUUGCUUGACGAUGUUCCGAUCAUGGAGCAUGUCAAAGUUGUCUUGGCAUACGAUGAAUGCUCUGAUUGUACGAAUCCUGCAGAGUCAGCAUCUAACCACUGCCUUAUCAGUCAGGCUCUUUCUCCUAACAGUAUGAUCACUUGGGAACCCACCAAAAUACAACAAGCGAGCCUUGUGAACAUGGACUGUGUGUCAGACUGGCAUAGCUAUAGGUAAGAACCCUGUUAGAGUAAUCUUGAUUAGUAAUUAGCAAGUAGGAGUCCUUGUGUCCGAUUCGAGUACUAGUUCACGUACGGGUGCUAGUCCUUGUACAGGAACAGUUUAGUACGUGUCAGGUUAUAGGUUAGUUUGGCUAGGAGAGUCUUGGUAGGAUUGGUUAGCCGUGUAAGUCUAGGAUUAUGUUGGGUCGGUGAUGGCUCCACGUGUAUAUAUAGAUACACAGGGCCUGCAACUUUGUAUCGACAGAAAACAAGAAAAGAAAUAAAGAGGAAGAGAGGCACGACACUUGCCUUUGGCAAAAAGUUUUUGCGUCUGCGUGUUUAUCGUGGUUUGAUGUGAUCGAUCCUGUGGGUGAAGUUCCAACAAACCCAUCACAUUCUUUCUAAGGCGCCUUCCUUGUCGAAAUGACGCCUAGCUGCCUCCACAGGUCAUGGCAGCCGUGGAUACUGUCGUCCAUGUUAACAAGAUCAAAUGGUUGGCCAUCAUAUUUCUUCAGAAUCUCCGCCGAAACUUGUUCCAACUGAAGCUUUCUUGAAGAACAAUUGUUUCGAGUGCUGCUUCUUAAUUACCAGGUCUUCUUACUUUGUGGACAUAGCCCUUCCUAGAGCUGCAAGCGUUAGCUACUGACUGCAUAGUGGUGGUCACCAUUACUCUUCAAUUGCACCAUUUAUCUGUUGGGGAGGAAGGCAGAUUCCAUGCUACUCCAUUGAUAUGUUUCCAUAUCAUCGUCGAUUACAAUGGAAUACAUGAAACACAUAUCAGGAAAUGAUUAUUUCAAGCUGGGAUCAUGGGUUCAGUGAGCAGUCAAAAUUCAGCAUGUUGUAUGUAGCAGAGUUAGUGAACAUAUGAGUACCAUUAAUUAAACUUACCUCUUGUUAUGCAAGUGCUCUCUGAUAUGAUAUCCACGGCAACCAAGCUCACAUCAGGGCCAUCAGACCCCAGGAGUAUCUGGACGAGUAGUACUUGUCUCGGGCCCUUGUCCGCAGCGAAUUGCUGGCAAACGUGGUUGUUAUACACCUCUCCAGCAAGCACAAUCUUCCUUGAGCCACAGAACCCGACGAUGAUGACGGAGAUCACCUUGAGCAUCGGCAAAGGGCCGAAGGCCGUGUACCUCCCUGAUAUCCUCUUUAGAAGCUGCAGCCCAACAGUCCGGAGUUAGGGUGUCGGACAACGCGGCAGAGCAACUGUGUUGGCGGGGCCUGUUCGCGAUCGCAUGCAGUGUGGUAGAUGAAGCGAUUGAUACAGUCUUCAAUGGUGCGAGCCAUCUCGCGCAGCUUUUCGAUGCUCCAUCGAUUGGCUCUGUUUAGCAUGUGCCUGCUGGAAACGUAGGCAUGUUUGCUUUUUUGGUGGGUCUCUUUUCUAGCUUGUCCGCUCUCUUUGGGUCCAUCCUUCUCAACCGCUGGCUGCCUCCUCUUUGGUACCAGCCGUCGACAACUUAUUUCUAGUCUUUCGAAGUUCAUCUUCAGAUGUUCCUUGCUUCUACAAAUUAUGCAACAUCACUUUUCUCAUGUUCAUGAGUUGAUAGUCAUGAAUACUGUCAGGAAAAAAAUCCAGGUCAUCUUAUAUCCAUAAAGUGGUGUCAGAUUUCUAGGCUGAUUGUUGAGAUUUUCAAGUUUGUUCAACUCUGGUAUCUUCUUUGCUUGUAUGAAUUUUCCCCUCUGUUGGAUUUAUGUAUUAUCUUGAUGGUAAAAUUGAACAUAUCCUCAAUCAGAAAUCUAUCAUAUACGACAUAACCAAUCUAAUAGAGUAUCAAGUUGAAUAAUAAUAGCCAAGAGAAGUUAUAAGUUUGGUCUAUCCUCGCGUCUUGAAUUGUGCAUCUAUUGUUAGUUUAUGGCUUUUUUAUGGUACAUAUUACUAUCGAGGCAUGAAAAUGAGAAAGUCUCUCACCCCUCGACCGGCGUGAGCUUGUGUGCCGGGAUCCUAGUUCAUCUCUAAGCUCUAACGGUCCUUUCCGGGCUACAUACGGGUACCCGACGGUGAGUGAGAGUAGGAAGAAGUGAAGGAAAAAGAGAUUGGAGAAGGGGGGAGGAGGAAGAAGUAUGAGGGAAUAGGUGGAGGGGAGGAAGAAGAGUAGGCAGAGAAGAAAGAAGAACAUGUAUACUGAGAUGCUCUCCCCAACUAUUGACCGUAUAUAUUAGUGGGUGAGGAAUCAUCCAGUGGCGCCAUGUUGGAGAGACGCUACAUGGAUGAAUCGUUUGAUGCUUGACUCAUAUCAGGUUUGGAGCGGCGAUAAAGGAUAGCAAUGUGAAAUCAAUUGCAGCUGCAAAUGAGACGGUUAAUUCAUGUUAUAAUGCUUUUACAGUAGAGGCGUUGUCCUUGAGGUUUGGUCUAAAUCUUGCACAUAUGAGCGGAUGCAAUAAACCUAAGACGAAUGCGGAUAAUAUAGAAGUGAUCACUACCAUGAAAGAGGGGAGUUGGUCGUUUAUUGCAAGUGCUAUUUUUGAUAACUAAUAUCUUGUGUCCUUAGACUUUAACUCGUAUAAUUUAUGAACACAGUUAUUGGGAAACCAACCAUGUUUGUGAAGCAAUUGGCAAGAUUGGCUAUAUUUUCCCCUCCUAAACUUUUGUUAGUGUCUACCCCUGAGGAAAUUGUCCCAUGCUCGUAAGCGAUGCGACAAUUCUUAUGCAUGAAUAAAGGAGGAUUGAAGUUUUAAAAAAGACAUCUUGUCUCCAACACCCAUAAUAUAUGUAAUAUUAGCGUAACCAACACAACUUUUCAUAAAAGCUUCUGACCAUUGGGCAGCUGUACCAGGCGAAUGAUCUUCAUCUGAUGGAAGUUCUGCAAGUAACUUUUUUUUUUGACCUGAAGUUCUGCAAGUAACUUGUAAUACUGCGAUCUUCAGUAUCAAGUUACAUGUGCAGGAGAAAUAGAAGGAAUAAAUACAAUUAGUCCUGCAUCUUGUCCAUUUGCAAGAACUCAAUAUGGAGUAUGGCCCAAGUCCAUAUUUUCUAAUUUGAGCAACCAGUCCAUUAAAGAGACCAUUUGAAUAAUGAUAAAAUGCAACACAAAGUCAUCACGAUCUCCCUCCCUUCCAUAUAAAGCAGGUACUGAGAUUUUCACUGAGACCAGUGAUUGGUCGCCAUAUCUUUAAGCAUAUGUUGCUUCAUAUGCACAUCAACUAUUGUAAAAAAUGAUUCUAUGUACAAUCUAGAACCAUUUCAGAUAAUAAGGUCACGCAAUUCACAUGGCUUGCCACUGAAGAGAUAAUUUGCAAUUACUCAUUACUCCUUAAUUGGAAGUACUUCAAUUAGACCAAGUUUCACAACCAUUAAUUAUGUUAGGCUCAUACGACUUCACUUCAUAAAUACGUAGAUAAUGCAUAUAUAUGACUCAAAUUAUAUUUUUGGAUGAAAAUCCAAAUAUGGAAUGAAUGUAAUAAUUGCCAGCAAUGUCCUUGUGAUAAGAACUUUCUUUGUCCUUUAUUCUCAUGUUUGAACUAGUAUAGGUCGGAGUUACACAUGAUGGUACACAAAUCACUUUUAUUUAUCAUCGGUACAUUGAACCCUCCAUUGACUAAACAACGAUGAUCCACUGGUCUAGUACUAUAACUCUUCGUUUCAUUGGCCAUUGAUGCCUAUACCACUACUCCCGAUGGUUGUUGUUGCGGAUAAGGUUGCUCAGGUUGGUGUGGCUGUAGAGGGAAUGGUUUUUGGAGUCGCUGGGGAAUUAUAUGUUCUGCUUGUUCAGGGAAUGUUUGUUGGGGUUGGGGAAAUGGUUAUUGCGGUUGAUGGGGGAACGACUACUCUAGUUGCAGAGGGAAUGGUUGUUGGGGUUGUUGGGGAAUUAUUUGUUUUGGUUGCUGGGGAAAUGGUUGUUGCGGUUGCAGGGGGAAUAGUUGUUGGGGUUGCUGGGGAAUUAUUUGUCCUGGUUGCUAGGAAAAUGGUUGUUGUGGCUGUAGAGAGAAUGGUUGUUGGGGUUGCUGGGANNNNNNNNNNNNNNNNNNNNNNNNNNNNNNNNNNNNNNNNNNNNNNNNNNNNNNNNNNNNNNNNNNNNNNNNNNNNNNNNNNNNNNNNNNNNNNNNNNNNNNNNNNNNNNNNNNNNNNNNNNNNNNNNNNNNNNNNNNNNNNNNNNNNNNNNNNNNNNNNNNNNNNNNNNNNNNNNNNNNNNNNNNNNNNNNNNNNNNNNNNNNNNNNNNNNNNNNNNNNNNNNNNNNNNNNNNNNNNNNNNNNNNNNNNNNNNNNNNNNNNNNNNNNNNNNNNNNNNNNNNNNNNNNNNNNNNNNNNNNNNNNNNNNNNNNNNNNNNNNNNNNNNNNNNNNNNNNNNNNNNNNNNNNNNNNNNNNNNNNNNNNNNNNNNNNNNNNNNNNNUGUGGUUGCAGAGAGAAUGGUUGUUGGGGUUGCUGGGGGAAUGGUUGUUGCAGUUAAAAGGGAAAUGGUUGUUGCGGUUGCUGCGUAAUUAUUUGUUCUGGUUGCUGGGGGAAUGGUUGUUGUGGUCUCUGGGGUUGCUGCGGGAAUUGUUGUUGUGGUUAUUGGGGAAUUGGUUGUUGGGGCUAGGGAAAUGGUCGUUGUGGUUGCAAGGGAAAUUGUUGUUGGGGCUGGGGAAAAGGUCGUUGUGGUUGUUGGGGUUGCCAGGGGAAUGGUCAUUGUGGUUGUAGGAGGGUUGGUUGUUGGGGUUGGGGAAAUGGUUGUUGUGGUUGAUGGGGGGAAUAUUGUUGGGGUAUGGGAAAUUGUUGUUGUUGUGAAUAUGGUUGAUGUGGAUAUGGUUGCAGCGGAUAUGAUUGUUUUUUCAGAAAUUGUUGUUGUGGUGACUGCAACUCUUGGUCGCUAGGGUUGAGAUGCCUAGCAGCAAUGACGAUGCUCAUAGGCAUGGAAAGGAGGACGAAUAUGAUGAAGGUCUUCAUUUUGGAUUUGUGCUUAAUGCUUUCUUGGAAUUGAUGUUUCUGAUCUUGGUGCUUGAAGUUUGGAUAAUGGAAGGUGACUAUGAUGGAGCAUGUGUAUUUAUAGCCGUCAUGGUGUGGUUUCAUUCAUCUUUGCAGCCGCUUUUCCAAAAAAGUGCUCGUAAGCUUAUACAACUAAUCAUAUGUUGUGUUUGGUGGCACAACUUUACUUGUGUGAUUUUGGAUUACUCAUCAUAGUUGCUUUUUGUUGCAUAUAUCAUCUGGUUGUAAGGCAUGCUCAAUAAUGACCGAUGACUCUUUUUUUCACUUUACACUACACACCUUGAUCUAUAUUUUGCCUCCCGUUGGAAUUUAGUUUGUGAUGCUCUACAUGAUGUUAGGCAUAUCCAUAUAGGCAUAGCUUAUGUGGGACUACAUUGGUAAGCUUGUGUGUGUUAGUAUAUGAUAGAUCACACUAUAAAUGAGAAGAUUCUUCUAGACAUUAUUUUCACUAAACUAACUUUUGUAUUUUUUUUGCCUAGUAUGAUUCUAAGAUGGAUAAAAAGAUUUGACUCGUCAAAUAACUAGAUAAACCGAGUGGCAAGUUAAGGCUUGUGACAUGGACUUUUGUCUAAGAUACAUCAUCUUAUCUUGCAUGCCCCACCGUAAUCAUGCAUACCAACGGAACCCCAACGGCCUAUCGUCAUGGCAUGGAGUUUUAAUUUUCCCUUUGGGAAAGGACAUCUACUCCACUUGGAUAGGUGCAAGUGCAUGAUUUUAAUUUGUUGAAACAAAAUUUGGAUGGCUCGACAUGCCUGGUUUAUAUGUGCCAAUACUCUUGAACAAUGUCAUGAACAACGACAAGGUGACAAGCACAACCAAAAGAUUCAAAGUAGAAGUUUUUCAUUCUUCUUGGACCACUAUGAUUGGUGAGAAGAACCAGGCAAUCGUCUGAUAUUGACGAGAAUAGCGUGUGGAGCACAUGGGUGUAGAAGCAUCUAAAAAAUGUGUUGCAAAAGAAGGAGCCAAGCUUGCAAAGAUCGAAGCCGAGAGAGAAAAAUUAGUCGGAGAUCCUCGUUAAGAUCAAAGCCAAGAAAAAAAUUAUUAGCCUAGAUUAUGUACAUUUACAUCACAGGACACUUGGCUCCUUUUCUGGCACACUAGGUCUUAUUGGGAGUUCCUCGCUAAGAUCGAAGCUGAGAGAAAAAUUAGUAGCCUAGAUAAUGUAUAUUUGCAUCAAGUUUUGGUCCCAAAGCAUAAGAAUGUUGCCAAUCCAUAUGUUGCACAAAACUGCACGACGAGUUCUACCAUGAUUACAACCAAUGAAUUGGUCAAUAGCGUCCACCUUAAUUUCCUAGUUGCACGCUGUGUGGUCGAAGGAUGAUGCAAUCAUAUCAUGAAUAUGCAUACGCCUUACUUGUUAUGAUCGUUAUGGCUAUACAAUUAACAUGGUUUUUACUGCUAAAAUUUCAUCUCCAACACAUAUAAUCUACCAAUGCAUGCACUGGUUACUUUUUUUGUCUAGUCUACAAUGACUGGAAACACCGACCACUGUCUAUGGUGGUGUGUACACGAAAGAAGAUAUCCCAUAUGGGUGGCAGGACCUCAACCAUCCUCAUCUUAGGCAUGGUUUCCAUCUAAAUUACAUUGAUGUUUUUUUAGAAAUGACAUUGAUGGUUUCUAUCUAAUGACAUUAAUGACACCCUCAACAGUCAACAUUACAGAAGAAAACACACACACACACACACACACACACAGAGAGAGAGAGAGAUACAGAGGUGCUGAGGAGAACAUCAAACAAAAGUACAAAUUGGCCACAGGAAAACAAAAGGUAGAGAAGAAUGGAGCGCGGCCUGGAAGCCAUAGCCUUGAAACACUAGAGCGCUCUUUUACCAAGGUAUACACAAAUGCGAUUAAUACAAUGAUGGGCAAACAAAUGUAAUUAAGACAAUGAUGGAUAAAACAUCAGAAGAAAGGACCAUUGUCUGCAUCCAAGAUGGACCUAUUCGCGGAACCAUCCAUCCAUCGCCGAAGAGGCCCCCCUGCCCUCUCGCCCUUUCUUGACGGACACAGACCCGUCGAAUGGCGCUAGGUCAGUAUCACAAAUGACCAUACCAAUCUGAGGCAAUGUUGUUGCAGCGAACCACAAGCCAUAACCUUGACUACCAACUAAGGAACUAAGCUCACGGGACAGUGCCUCCAAGAAGGGAACGACAUUGCACCACCGCUGUGACGACCCACAAGUAUAGGGGAUCAAUCUUAGUCCUUUCGAGAAGUAAGAGUGUUGAACACAACGAGGAGCAAAAGAAAAUGACAAGCGGUUUUCAACAAGGUAUUGUCUGCAAGCACUGAAACAAUCAGUAACAGAUAGUUUGUUAGCAAGGUAAUUUGUAACGAGCAAAAGUAGUAAGGUAACAAAGGUGCAGCUAGGUAGCCCAAUCCUGUUUUCUAUCAAAGGACAGGUUGGAAUGAUCUCUUUAAUAAGCAAAAGUGUUCUUGAGGACACACGUGAAUUUCAUCUAGUCACUUUGAUCAUGUUUGUUUGAUUCACGUUUGCUAUUCUGCUAUUUUGAUAUGUUGGUGGACCGGCGCUUGAGUAUUUUUCUUACUUAAACAAGCCUACCACUUAUGAUUAACCCCUCUCGCAAGCUUCUACAACUACGAAAGAAGAAUUAAGAUAAAAUUAACCAUAACAUGAAACAUACGGAUCCAAAUCAGCCUGAUAACCCACAAGUAUAGGGGAUCGCAACAGUUUUUGAGGGUAGAGUAUUCAACCUAUAUUUAUUGAUCCGACACAAGGGGAGCCAAAGAAUAUUCUCAAGUAUUAGCAGCUGAGGUGUCAAUUCAACCACACUUGGAUAACUUAAUAUCUGCAGCAAAGUAUUUAGUAGCAAAGUAAUAUGAUAGUAAUGGCAACAGUGGCAAAAGUAACGGUAGCAGUUUUGGUUUUAUAGUGAUUGUAACAGUAGCAAUGGAAAAGUAACUAAGCGAAGAACAAUAUGUGAAAUGCUCGUAGGCAUUGGAUCGGUGAUGGAGAAUUAUAUCGGAUGUGAUUCCUCAUGUAAAAGUUAUAACCUAGGGUGACACAGAACUAGCUCCAGUUCAUCAAUGUAAUGUAGGCAUGUAUUCCGAAUAUAGUCAUGCGUGCUUAUGGAAAAGAACUUGCAUGACAUCUUUUGUCCUUCCCUCCCAUGGCAGCGGGGUCCUAUUGGAAACUAAGGGAUAUUAAGGCCUCCUUUUAAUACAGUACCGGAACAAAGCAUUAGCACUUAGUGAAUACAUGAAAUCCUCAAACUAUGGUCAUCACCGGUAAGUAUCCCGAUUAUUGUCACUUCGGUAUUAACGGAUCAUAACACAUCAUAGGUGACUAUAGACUUGCAAGAUAUGAUCAAGAACUCACAUAUAUUCCUGAAAACAUAAUAGGUUCAGAUCUGAAAUCAUGGCACUCGGGCCCUAGUGACAAGCAUUAAGCAUAGCAAAUUCAUAGCAACAUCAAUCUCAGAACAUAGUGGAUACUAGGGAUCAAACCCUAACAAAACUAACUCGAUUACAUGAUAAAUCACAUCCAACCCAUCACCGUCCAACAAGCCUACGAUGGAAUUACUCGCGCACAGCGGUGAGCAUCAUGAAAUUGGUGAUGGAGGAAGGUUGAUGAUGACGAUGGCGACAGAUUCCCCUCUCCGGAGCCCCGAGCAGACUGCAGGUCAGCACUCCCGAGAGAGUUUGGGGCUUCGCGGUGGCUCCGUAUUGUAAAACGCGAUGAAUCCUUCUCCCUGAUCAUUUUCCUCCCCGAACAUGAAUAUAUGGAGUUGGAGUUGAGGUCGGUGGAGCACCAAGGGGCCCACGAGAUAGGGGCGCGCCCCCACCCUCGUGGACAGGGUGUGGGCCUCUGGCCUUGACUCGUUCGCCAAUAUUUUUUAUAUAUUCCCAAAAUAAUCUCUGUCGAUUUUCAGGUCAUUCCGAGAACAUUUAUUUCUGCACAAAAAUAACACCAUGGCAAUUCUGCUAAAAACAGUGUCAGUCCGGGUUAGUUCCAUUCAAAUGAUGCAAGUUAGAGUCCAAAACAGGGGCAAAAGUGUUUGGAAAAGUAGAUACGUUGGAGACGUAUCAACUCCCCCAAGCUUAAACCUUUGCUUGUCCUCAAGCAAUUCAGUUGAUAAACUGAAAGUGAUAAAGAAAAACUUUUACAAACUCUGUUUGCUCUUGUUCUUGUAAAUAUGUAAAGCCAGCAUUCAAGUUUUCAGCAAAGAUUAUGAACUAACCAUAUUCACAAUAACAUUUACGUCUCAUGUUUACUCAUAUCAAUGGCAUAAUUAACUAGCGAGCAAUAAUAAGAAAUCUCGGAUGACAACACUUUCUCAAAAAAUCAUGAUAUGAUAUAACAAGAUGGUAUCUCGCUAGCCCUUUCUGAGACCGCAAAACAUAAAUACAAAGCACCCCUAAAGAUCAACGACUGACUAGAAAUUUUAAUUCAUUGUAAAAGAGAUCCAGUCAUAGUCAUACACAAUAGUAAUGGAUGCAAAUGACAGCGGUGCUCUCCAACUGGUGCUUUUUAAUAAGAGGAUGCCGACUCAACAUAAAAGUAAAAAGACAGGCCCUUGGCAGAGGGAAGCAGGGAUUUGUAGAGGUGGCAGAGCUCGAUUUUGAAAUAGAGAUAAAUAAUAUUGUGAGCGGCAUACUUUCAUUGUCAACAUAACAACCGAGUGAUUUCGAUAUCUUACAUGCUACACACAUUAUAGGCGGUUCCCAAAAAGAAUGGUAAAGUUUAUACUCCCCCUCCACCAACAAGCAUCUAUCCAUGGCUUGGCCAAAACAACGGGUGCCUCCAACUAACAACAAUCCUGGGGGGAGUUUUGUUUGCAAUUAUUUCGAUUUGAUUUGCUUAAAGCAUGGGACUGGGCAUCCCGGUGACCAGCCAUUUUCCCGUGAGUGAGGAGCGUAGUCCACUCCUCUUGAGAAUAACCCUCCUAGCAUGGAAGAUACAAACAGCCCUAAUUGAGACAUGAGCUAUUUGAGCAUGCAAAACAGAAUUUUAUUUGAAGGUUUAGAGUUUGGCACAUACAAAUUUACUUGGAACGGCAGGUAGAUACCAUAAAUAGGUAGGUAUGGUGGACUCAUAUGCAAUAACUUUGGGGUUUAUGGAAGUGGAUGCACAAGCAGUAUUCCCGCUUAGUACAAGUGAAGGCUAGAAAAAGACUAGGAAGCGACCAACUAGAGAGCAACAACAGUCAUGAACAUGCAUUAAAAUUAAUCAACAUCGAGUGCAAGCAUGAGUAGGAUAUAAUUCACCAUGAGCAUAAAUAUCGUGGAGGCUAUGUUGAUUUUGUUUCAACUACAUGCGUGAACAUGUGCCAAGUCAAGUCACUUAAAUCAUUCAGAGGAGGAUACCACUCUAUCAUACCACAUCAUAACCAUUUUAAUAGCAUGUUGGCACGCAAGGUAAACCAUUAUAAACUCCUAGCUAAUUAAGCAUGGCAUAAGCAACUAUAAUCUCUAAUUGUCAUUGCAAGCAUGUUUCAUUCAUAAUAGGCUGAAUCAGGAAUGAUGAACUAAUCAUAUUUAUAAAAAUAAGAGAGGUGGAGUUCAUACCAGCUUCUCUCAUCUCAAUCAGUCCAUCAUAUAUCGUCAUUAUUGCCUUUCACUUGCACGACCGAACGGUGUGAAUAAUAAUAAUAGUGCACGUGCAUUGGACUAAGCUGGAAUCUGCAAGCAUUCAAUAAAUAGUAGAAGACAAGGUAAUAUGGCUCUUGGUUAAAUUAACAAUAAUGCAUAUGCAAGCCAUUUAACAUUUUCAUCAUGGUCUUAUCCUCUUAACCCCCAAAGAACAAGAAAAGAAAUAAAACUAUUUACACGGGAAAGCUCCCAACAAGCAAAAGAAGAAAGAGAAAUAUUUUUGGGUUUCUCUUAAUUACUACUAUAGGCAUGGAAAGUAAACUAAAUAAAAGCUACAACUAAUUUUUUUUGUUUUCCUUAAGGUUUAUCAAACACACAAGAAGAAAGCAAGAAAAAGAAAAUAAACUAGCAUGGAUAUUACAAUGAAAAUUAUGAGCACCGACAACUAGCAUGAGUGUGUGAACAUAAAUGUAAUGUCGGUGAGAAAUACGUACUCCCCCAGGCUUAGGCUUUUGGCCUAAGUUGGUCUAUGCCCAUGGAUCAAAGUGGCCCUCUCUAGUGUAUGCAGGAGUGUCCUCUGGUUGCCACUGGUUGGCGAUCUCUUCCGGAUCCCAUUGAUAAACAGACUGCCGGUGAGGAUCAGGUUGUGGCUCCGACUCUGGCUCUAGGGCUGGUGUCUGGCCCCGGUAUGCAUGGAUGGCCUCCGGCAAUACGAGGUACUUGCCUGAAAAUAUGUUAAACAAGGAAGGAGCAGGCAAGGUAAUAAACUGAAAAUAAUUUUUGUGAAAUAUCAAUUUAUAUUUAAGUAUCUUAUUCUUAUCCUUAACAAUAAACUCAUGUGCUUCCAUGCUCUUAUAAUCUAGAAUAAUAGGAGGCAACAACGUUUCCUCUUUCUCAUAAUGCCUGAUAGGUAUGUUAAAGUGUGCAGCAAGGCGCGAGGCGAAGAUGCCUCCUAAGAUGGGACCCAUUCGUGCGGUUCAGAUUUAACCGCUUGGCAACAAUAGCGCCUAGACUAAAAGUGUUAUCAUGAAACAAGGCAUGGCAUAAAAUAACAAUAUCAGGGGCACUAAGGUUCCCACAGUUUCCGCGACAAAUUAAGCAUCUACUAGCAAAUAUUGAGAAGUAACGUAGAACAGGAAAAUGUAUGCUAGUAAUUCUUGCAUCGGAAAAUUUCCUCGUUUCCCCUACAGCAAUCAUAUCAAUAAAUCCCUCCACAUCAUUAUGACGUGGUUCCUCUAUGCUGCCCUCAAAGGAUAUCAAACAGACCUGGCAAAAAUCAUAAACCGACAUAUCCUUAUGCUCAUCAUAUAAAUAAAAUUCCACCGAAGGUGGUGAUCUCCUAGCAUGGAAAUGAAAAUUUUGCACAAAGAUAUUGGUGAGUAAGAGAUACUGUUCGCGUCGAUCAUGGAGGAAGGCGGUGAGGCCUGCAUUCUCAGCCAAAUAAUAAAAAUCUUCAUGAAUCCCGGCUUCUCUCAAGAACUCAUCGCAAGGCCAUUCACACGGCCGAACCUCCGCAGUACGAGGGAGAUUAUACUUGGGCUUCUUGAUCUCUUCGCUUUGUUUAUCCUUCGAACCUCGGCUCGACGAGCCCCUCAAUAAUCUCUCCAUCAUUUUCUGAAAAUUUCUGAAAAUUUUAGUGACUCAAAAUAAAAGUGAACCAAACUCAACAAUAUUGAUAGCAACUACUCCUACAAGUACCUAGAGGCAAUAUCAUACAUUAGAACUACUUGGGACCAUAUAAAUUUGACAUCAAGAUCAAGAACAGGGUCACCUUAAGCAGCAAAAAUUUGCAAUGAAUAAAGCACUAGAACAAAAACUAAUUGGACCAUUGGAGGAGUCACAUACCGAAGAAAAAUCCCCCAAAGUAGUUUUGUGAAUGGAGCUUUGAGCAAGGAGAUCGAAAAUGGCAGCAAGAUGAGCCAGAACUCAUGCUUGAGUUGCUUGGUGAUUUUUUUGGGAGGAAGAAGGAGUGUGUGAUGGCUGGAAUAAGUGGAGGGGAGCCACCAUGGGCCCACGAGGGCAGGGGCACGCCCAGGGGGGUGGGUGCGCCCUUGACCCUCGUGGCCAGGUGCUUACUCCCCAUGAUGAGUUCUUAGUGCCAGAUAUUGUCAAAUAUUCCAUAAAAAAGCAUAUUUCAAUUUCGAGGCAUUUGGAGAAAUUUUAUUUUUUGGGGUAUUUUUUAUUGCAUGGAUAAUUCAGAAAACUGACAUAAAAUACUAUUUUUGCUUUAUUUAAUCUAAAUAACAGAAGGUAAAAAGAGGGUACAGAGAGUUGUGUUUUUCUAACUUCAUCCAUCUCAUGCUCAUCAAAAGGAAUCCACUAACAAGGUUGAUCAAGUCUUGUUAACAAACUCAUUCCGAAUAACAUGGAACCGGAGAAAUUUCGAAUAACACUAUGUUACCUGAACGGGGAUAUGCAUGUCCCCAACAAUAAGAAUAUUAUAUUUCUUCUUGACAGUAGGAAGGGGAAAUUCAAAACCUCCAAAAGUAAUUGUUGAAAUUUUUCCAAUAGAAUUGAUACUAUGAACUUGAGGUUGUUUCCUCGGAAAGUGUACCGUAUGCUCAUUACCAUUAACAUGAAAAGUGACAUUGCCUUUGUUGCAAUCAAUAACAACCCCUACAGUAUUCAAAAAGGGUCUUCUAAGAAUAAUAGACAUACUAUCAUCCUCGGGAAUAUCAAGAAUAACAAAGUCCGUUAAAAUAUUAAUGUUUGCACCACAACAGGCACAUCCUCACAAAUACCGACAGGUAUAGCAGUUGAUUUAUCAGCCAUUUGCAAAGAUAUUUCAGUAGGUGUCAACUUAUUCAAAUCAAGUCUACGAUAUAAAGUGAGAGGCAUAACACUAACACUGGCUCCAAGAUCACAUAAAGCAGUUCUAACAUAGUUUCUUUUAAUGGAGCAUGGUAUAGUUGGUACUCCUGGAUCUCCUAGUUUCUUUGGCAUUCCACCCUUAAAAGUAUAAUUAGCAAGCAUGGUGGAAAUUCCAGCUUCUGGUAUCUUUCUCUUAUUAGUAACAAUAUCCUUCAUAUACUUAGCAUAAGGAUUCAUUUUAAGCAUAUCAAUCAAACACAUACGCAAGAAGCACUACAGGAAUCCAGUAUUUUGCCGUCUGCGGACGGCAAACAGGGACGGCAAAGACUGGGUCGGCAAACAAGUCCUUUGCCAUCUGCUUUUUAUGGCGGACAGCAAAGAGUCCUUUGCCUACAGCAGCGGACGGCAAAGAGGAGGGACGGAAAAAUAUUGGACGUCCGCUAGCGUUAGUCCUUUAGGCGGCUAACGGCGGCCUUUGCCGUCCGCCAGUGGACGGCAAAUUUGAGCGCCUCUUUGCCGUCCACCAGUCGACGUCAGCAAUGCGUCAGCGCCCGCUGUGUUUUGCCGUCUGCCACGGCGGACGGCAAAGGCACAGUCUUUUCCAUCAGCUUAGCUUUGUCGUUCUCCACGGUAGGAAAAUUUGCCAAAUGGCCCAUCUCUCAGGAAGCACAGGUGGGCGCCACGUGCCCCCUUUGCCGUCUGCCACCGACGGCAGAGGGGUCUUUGCCGUCUGCCGCGGACGGCAAAGAGCCUACACUGCCUCUUUUUUAUUCUGUUUUUCUUAUAUCAAACAAUUAUCACAACAAAUAUAUCGCAGGACUCUUUCACAAUAAAUAUCCAGCACAUAUAUAUCCAACAUAAUAAAUAUCCAACACAUAUAUAUCCAUCCAUACAUACAUAGUAGGUUGCACAUAGUUCCAUCGAUCCAUACAUAUUACAAUAUGCAAAGUUUCAUCAUAGCAAUCUAGUUUCAUCAUAGCAAGUUAAUUCCAUCAUAGCAAGCGAGUAGAAUACAAGAAGUGCAUCAAAGCAAAAACAAGCAAUCCAUCAUAGCAAGCUGGCUUCCGUGAAGUGAAUGAAACCUGCAAAAUGACAAAUAAGAAAUUUAGAAAAAGAAGACUAGAAGAAGAAUUAGACUAGAAGAAAAAGAAUAGAAGAAGAAGAAGAAGACUAGAAGAAGAAGUAUAUGCCAUUUAUUAGCUAACUUAGGUGAACUGCAUCAUUUAUGAACUAAAUUAGUUGAAAUGGAUCGUUUAUGAGCUAACUUAGGUGAAAUGGAUCGUUUAUUAGCUAACCUAGGUGAAAUGGAUCGUUUAUGAGCUAUCUUAGGUGAAAUAUAUCAUUUAUGAGCUAAGUUAGGUGAAAUGGAUCAUUUAUGAGCUAACCUAGGUGAAAUGGAUCAUUUAUGAGCUAACGUAGGUGAAAUGGGUCGUUUAUGAGCUAACCUAGGUGAAAUAGGUCGUUUAUGAGCUAACCUAGGUGAAAUGGGUNNNNNNNNNNNNNNNNNNNNNNNNNNNNNNNNNNNNNNNNNNNNNNNNNNNNNNNNNNNNNNNNNNNNNNNNNNNNNNNNNNNNNNNNNNNNNNNNNNNNNNNNNNNNNNNNNNNNNNNNNNNNNNNNNNNNNNNNNNNNNNNNNNNNNNNNNNNNNNNNNNNNNNNNNNNNNNNNNNNNNNNNNNNNNNNNNNNNNNNNNNNNNNNNNNNNNNNNNNNNNNNNNNNNNNNNNNNNNNNNNNNNNNNNNNNNNNNNNNNNNNNNNNNNNNNNNNNNNNNNNNNNNNNNNNNNNNNNNNNNNNNNNNNNNNNNNNNNNNNNNNNNNNNNNNNNNNNNNNNNNNNNNNNNNNNAUGAGCUAACCUAGGUGAAAUCGGUCGUUUAUGAGCUAACCUAGGUGAAAUGGGUCGUUUAUGAGCUAACCUAGGUGAAAUGGAUCAUUUUGGAGCUAACUUAGUUGAAAUGGGUCGUUUAUGAGCUAACUAAGGUGAAAUGCCACGUUUUUGAGCUAACUAAGGUGAAAUGGAUCGUUUUUUAGCUAACUUAGGUGAAAUGGGUCAUUUUGGAGCUAACCUAGGUGAAAUGGGUCAUUUUGGAGCGAACCUAGGUGAAAUGGGUCAUUUUAAAGCUAACGUAGGCAAAAUGGAUCAUUUAGGAGCUAAUCUACGUAAAAUGGGUCAUUUUAGAGCUAACUUGGAUAAAUUGGAUCACUUGUAAGCUAACUAAGGUAAAAUGAGUCAUUUUAGAGCUAACUUAGGUAAAAUGGAUCGUUUAUGAGCUAACUAAGCUAAUGAUGCAAUUUUUGACAUAACUAAGCUAAGUACAUAUCGUUUUAGAGCUAACUUAGGUAAAAUGGAUGGUUUAUGAGGUUAGUAAGCUUGUUAAGUCAUUUUUGAGGAAAAGAAGCUAACUCUAGGUCAUUAUGGUAAGCAUAUUGGAGGGAAAAAAGAUAAGUCUAGGUCUUUAUGCAUUUGUUAAGCAACACACUAGAGAAACUUACCGUGAUCAGGGAGGUGUAGGAGCAGGCUGGCUCGCGCCGGUAGCUGGAGAAGGAUCGUGCGAUGCGUUUCUGGAGUUAAGCUGCACCAAAGAUCAUUUCCAAUGUCUCAUUAGCAUUAUGACACUCAAAUGUUAAGACUAGCAAGUAAUGUCCAUUCAAAUUAAACUCACCGUGCUCCCAGGGGCAAUCACUAGCAUCGGUGGAGCGGUCUGACUAGACUUCUCGCACACAGACUGCACAUUUGGUUUUCACAACAGAGUCAUACUAGUUAGUAAUGAAACUCAAAUGUCAAGACUAGCAAGUAAUCUGCAGAAGAAACUUACCACAAGGAGCUCGUACAUGGCCCUUGCCUGCAUGUCAUUCCGUGCCCUCUCCUCCUCCAACAUCUUUGUCGUCCUCUCCUCCAACUCUCACUGCCUCUCCGCCGCCUCCGCCGCCUCCGCCAGAAGUUUCUCCAUUCUAUCUCUCUCACUCUGUAUAGUAGCCUGCAACACCACUCACAUGACCAUUUGUAAUCAUUGAUGGAAGCGCACACAAUGUAAUGGAGAAAGAUAACUAACCUUGAAGGCGAGUUGGACUGCCCGUUCACGAGGCCUUAUCUCAGGAGCGGAGCUCGACUAGCGCGCCUUGAUCUCCGGGAGAGUGCUAGGACAACAGAUAAGUCCAUCUCCCAUGGCUAUGGGGCCAUGGGACCUCCCGCCACCAGAUAUCAUCAGCAGCUCUGUAUCAAUGGGACCCUGGCUUGGGUUAAAGUCCUCCCCUUUCCUCUCCUUCCCCUGAUCUCUAUAUUGCACGAGCUUGUCAUGGGCGGAGAUGUUGGUGAAGUUCUUCGGAUCAUUGAGGUCAGACGCAGAGAAUGCCUUAACUUUCUUGUAAGGGCCAGUCUGGGCCAUGGCAUACAGGUCGUACACCUCUAGCACCUUAUCCGCCUUAUUGUAGCGUGCCUGAAAGAGAGAAACAAAGUAAAUUAGUAAUUAAAGUUCUAAAGCUAGCAUGAUGAAUGAAUUGCAUGAAUCAUGAAGCAAACUACAUACCCAGUUCCGCCCGUACUGAAAUAAGUUGGAGCUGCCUUGGUGGUGUGGCACACCUUCCAUUUGGGCACGUUUGUCCUUGGCCUCAUUGUGGGUGGCCCGCCAUUCUUUCUAGCACCACGCAUUGACCAACACCUCCCAACAAUCCAUCCGAUCCGCACACCAUCUCGGAGGGGUCUAAGUUAGCAAAUAGAAACUUGAGCGCUACGGCUAUGAAUUACUAAAUGAAGGAAGUAAGUACAAGGCCUUAAGAAUUACCUUCAUGUACUGCUCCUUACUCAAGAACUUAUCGCGGCACUCCUGCUUGGGCUUAUUGAUACCACGCCCGGCGUAGUAGUCUCGAACAGCCUGCACCCGAACCUCAUGCCGUAAGUUCUGAAGUAGGCGCUUGCACUCCUUGUCGAUAACAUCUGCCGCCUCCUCCUCGUAUCCCUCCUCACACCUGUAGAAUGUCUGCAAUCAAAUGAGACAAUAUUGAUUAGUACAAUUAAUAACUAGGUAGUUGAAGAUUUUUAAUUGUGUAAAGGAGAAAUUACCCAGAACUUUCUAAUCACCACGUCUGCCCUCGUCUUGCACAAGACACCGUCGAUAAUCUCACCCGUCGGGGCUGGGGCAGCCAAGUAGUGCUCCCAACUCAAUCCAACCUCUGGAAGCCGACCCUCACCAGGCAAUGUGACAAACCCCGGGAAGUUUUGCCGAAUCAUAACUCCAAGGACGGAGUUGGGCCGGCGGACACUUUCAUGGUGGUCCCAACCCCUGCAGCAUGACAAGGCCAACGCAUUAGUUAUUUGAAGAAACGUGAAUGCAGAAGGUACAAAAAGAUUAAAUGCACCUACCUCUCCCCAUCAGGGAAAAUCAACCACCUCUGCUCGUGGGUCGCCGGCACGGACGGGAGCCGUGUAGCACCACGCUGGUAGAUGUUGCCCCCUCCACCUCAAUAUCAGUCGGCUCCCCGCCAUCAUCAGCAUGGCCACUCGGCUCCCCGCCAUCAUCAGCAUGGACACUCGGCUCCUCAGGCUGACCCGACCAGGUACCCCAUCCAGACGUGUGCUCCUCCGGGGUCUCGUGGGCCGAAGGCCCGUCGACCCGAGGCUCGUGGGCCGAAGACCCGUGGACCGGAGUCUGUGUAGCCUCCAACUCGGACGAGUCCACCCUAGCAGUCACGUGCUCGGGUGAAACAGCUGGGGGUGGCGGCGAGGAAGGCGCCGUAAGAGUCACCCUACCUCCUCUCCCGGGACCACGUGCUCCACCUCCUCUCUUCUUCUUACCUCAUCCCUUGCUGGGCACCGCGGUCGACGAAGAAGGGCCCGACGGUGUCGCCAUACUGUCCAGCAACGCUCGGCGGAGAAGUGCGUGUGGAAUGGAAGACCUCGCACCACGUGCCAACGAAGAAGGGGCCUCGGCGCGCUGCCGACCAGCGACCACCAUCUUUCAACACCUGCCAUGACAAAGAAUAAACGAAAUUAGUACAACAUAAAAAAAGUACCGACAUGAAUAAUAAUAUGUAUAUCACUUAAGUGUAUCAUCAUCAAGUACAACAUAAAAAAAUUGAAUACCUGACACUACUAAUAAUCGCGAUCAGUAUCAUCAAUAAAUGCAUAAUCAUCAUCAUCACUAUAAUCAGUGAUGGGCUCAUAGGGUUCAUUGGCAUCAACAUGUGCAAGGCCACCUUGAUGUAAUCGGUCAAGCAUUGACAAGUCAUCCGCAGCAGUAACCUCUUCUUGUUCCGGCUCUUCUUGUUCCUCCUCUGGGGUGAUGUCGGAUUCACUGUCGCUGUCUACUUCAAUGUUUUGGGGUGAAGUAUAGCGGUUCUUGAAACGCUUUUUGGAAAGACGUGUCUCUUGGAAGAAUUCCCCUUCAUAUGUGUCUGGGUUAAUCUGAGGUUCAUAAUCCCCUUCCUUUGGGGGAGAAAGUCUAGCACGUGGCGGCACUUCAUAAACGACAUCCCAACCUUUCAUAUUUGGAUUAGUUUGGCAGGCCCACAGUAGAUAGAAUACUUGGGUCGCCCGUUGAGCCGUAAUAUAGACAUCAGGAACAUCUAAAUGGGUGCUUUGGUUGAUUUCAACCAGCCCUAUAUGUUCAUGAGUCCUUCUAGUCUCUUUCGGCUGAAACCAAUAACAUUUGAAGACUAAGACAUUCGGUGGGUUUUCACCAUAGAACAGAAGUUCAUAAAUUGCUUCAACUCUCCCAUAAUACUCGGUACCUCCUUCGCCGAUAGAAGAUACACAACAAUUUGUAGACUUUCGGUCGGCCAUAGAUAGCUCUUUGCCAUAGGUACGAAAGCGAUACCCAUUGAUGUCGUACUUGUCAAAUGAACGGACCUUAUAGUCAAAACCAUUAGCGACUUGUCUCAAUUCGGCGUCCAUAGACUCUGAAUUAGCCUACAAGUUUAAUAUGAAAGGAUUGUUGCAUUACGCACAAAUUAGCGAAUGAAAUGAAAUUGUCUAAUAGAAAUUACCGUUUGUUUGAACCAAGAGAUGAAACCGGGAUAGCCGCCUCCUUGCUUUGCGAGAAGCUCAUACUCUUCGACGGAAUCCUUUUGGAUCUCCGCUCCAUAUGAGAAUAUGGCGACGUAUCGACUGUAUGACAUAUCCAGGAAUAAGAGCAGUUCAAAGGAAAUAGAAGUUACGAAACAAUGUACCGAGAACUUACUUGAUGUACGGCCGCACUUCUAUCAGGUUGUUGAAGAUAUACAACGAAAUGGUCCGCCAUUCUUCGUUAUCCAAAGAUACUGGAUGUGAAACAUUAGCUGGUGCAAGAUUCCCUUUGAAUAGGCUGAGGUUGGAUCCACCCUUUUUAGGGUCGUCAGCAUUGUACCGAGGCUUCAGAUUAUGCAAAUGACGAUUUUUGGCUUCGUAGUGUGCUGUUACGAAGUUUGCCGCCUCCUCUGUGAUGAAUGCCUUAGCCAUCGAUGCUUCAAUUCUAUGUUUAUUUUUACAUUUUUCUCGAAGCGUCUUUUGCAUCCUCUCAGUUGGGUAGCACCAACGAUUUUGCACGGGCCCCCCAAUCUUGCCUCGGUCGGGAGAUGCAAAAUCAAAUGCUGCAUUGGAUUAAAGAAGCCUUGUGGAAAGAUCUUCUCUAACUUAUAGAUCAACUCCGGCGCCAACUCUUCCAUUUCUUCUAGCACGCCAGGCGAUAGUUCUUUCACACAAAGAACACGGAAGAAAUAGCUGAGUUCUGCCAGUACUAGCCAUUCAUCCUCAGGGAUGAAGCCAUGCAACAUCACCGGCAUUACCAGCUCAAUCCAUAUGUGCCAAUCAUGACUCUUGAGACCAAAUAUCUUCAAUUUUUUAAGAUUCGCUCCCUUCUUUAGAUUCGCUGCAUACCCAUCGGGGAACAUCAAUUGCUGUUGCACCCACAAGAUAAUUUCCCUCAUAGCUGGCCUUCCAAGAUUGAACCAUGCCUUUGGCUUCGUCCAGUUCUGCUUUCCUUUCGGUUCUUUCAUGUUUUGUAACGGCCUAUCACAUAGCGCCUCCAGAUCGACUCUAGCCUUAGUAUUAUCCUUUGACUUCCCAUCUAUGCCGAACAAUGUACCAAAAAGUGCCUCAGCGAUAUUCUUCUCAGUGUGCAUCACGUCGAUGUUGUGUGGGCAAAGGAGGUCUUUGAAGUAAGGCAGAUCCCAUAAGCAUGUUUUGUGAGUCCACGCGUGCUUAGUAUUAUACCCCUUGAAGUACCCCGGACGCUGUGGAUCUGGCUCGAGAGUGUUUAACUGAUCCAGGGUCUGUUGGCCUGUCAAUGCACGUGGUGCAGAGUUUUUGACAACUCUACCUCUGAUGAAGUUCUUCUUGUCUUUCCUGAACUUAUGGCGAGGAUCCAGGAACUGUCUAUGCAUGUCGAAGCAAGAAAACUUGCGACCGGCCUGAAGCCAACGAAACUCAAGAGCUCCCUUGCAUGUGGGGCACGAGAACCUUCCAUGCACACAGCAACCAACGAAUAGCGCAUACGCCGGCAAGUGAUGCGUCGAGUACAUGUACCAGACACGCAUUAUGAAGUUCCGUUUGCUAUAGGCGUCGUAUGUCUUGAACCCAUUAUCCCAGGCUUCUUGCAAUUCGUCCUUAAGCGGCUGCAUGUACACAUUCAUAUUUUUCCUUGGAUAGUUGGGCCCUGGAAUUAUCAACGUCAGGAAAAUGUUCUUUCUUUGCAUAAUCUAUCUGGGGGGGAGAUUGAGUGGAGAGGAAAAUACGGGUCAACAAUUGUAUUGGGCUGCCGUCAUACCAAACACACUGAACCCAUCCGUGCUGAUGCCGACUCGAGGAUGCCUCGGAUCUGCCGCUUUGUCAGCAUGUAAUUCAUCAAACUUUUUCCACGCAACACCAUCCGAUGUGUGUACCAUCAUCAGAUUCCCAUCUGCAUCUAGUUCGGUUCUUUUGCCUAUUUUGUGCCAUGUCAUCUGUCUGGCCGUCUCUUCGACCACGAAAAGACGUUGAAGUCUUGGUACGAUUGGCAUAUACUAAAGAACACUAACGGGGAGUUUGGUCUGUGUCUUCUCACCCAUACCGUUGUCUACCACAAUAUACCUGGAAGACUUGCAAAUGGGACAAUAGUUCAAGUCCGCAUAGUCAAGCCUAAACAAGGCACAUCCUUUCUCACAGGCAUGUAUCUUCUCAUAGGGCAUCUUCAGUGCAUGGAGGAUUUUGUCCGACUGGUACAGGUUUGCAGGCAUUACAUGGCCUUUGGGUAGAAAGCGUCCAAAUACUGUCAUAAUUGCGUCAUAGCAUUCUCUGCCCAAGUUGAACUGAGCCUUCAUAGCCAUUACUUGUGAGAUGGCAUCCAACUGACAAAGCUCAGUGUGCUUGUGGAGCGGACGUUUUGAAGACUCCAACAUUUCAUUGAAGGCCUUUGCAGAUUCCUCCAUCUCCUCGUCCGAAUCCCGAGCAUCAUCAUAGUCUUGCACCAUGUUUUCAAUCCCGGUACCAUGUUCGUCGGUGCCACGACGAUCCACCUCAGCUCAAUCACGUUGGGCAGACUCACCAUGAAAUGUCCAUACCGUAUAAUCAGGCGUAAAACCACUCUUCUGCAGGUGUUUGCGCAUUUCAGCCUCUGUCCUCUUUUCCCCAUUGCCGCACCGGAAACAGGGGCACCAGAUUUUCCUCUGGCCAUUUGAAAAUGCGGCUUGCACAAACCCCUUGGUUUUUGUGAACCAUUCAGCGCUCCAUUUUGUUUUGACCAAUGUGACCGGUAAACAUCCACGCACGAUCACUCAUCUUGACUUUCAGAGCUACUGGACACACAACAAUUAUAUAUGUAAUUCACCAUGUAUAUAUUCAUCAGUUGAUCUACUUUGUCAAUUUUAUUACGUCCAUGCAACCUACACUCUAAUAGGUAAUGAUAGGUCCUAAUCCCACCCGUGUAUGUGUAGAUUGGGUUCAUUUUCCCAUGCUAUGCUCCGGAUCCGACGCAAACUUUUGGCAGCACCUCCCCGCUGUUCUCCUGAUACACGUCUCUGCAAUAAACAGAGAGGAUGUGUACCCGGAGAACAACAGUGGAGGCACUAACGAAAUUUAUACGUCGGAUCCGGAGGAAAGCAUAUGGGAAAACAAACCCAAUCUACACAUACUCGGGAUGUCCAUGGAUAGUGUUGGACAAUUCGAAAGAAUCAAGGUUAUAAAUAUGCAAAUGCAUGCAUAUUUAUAACUAUGACGCUUUCGAACGGGAGACACAUAUUGGUUACGCAUACUGAUGAUUCAAGACACAUAUAUAACUAGCUAUCAAGUUUCAUCGGAAUAGAUCAAAUAAUUAAUUGGGGAGGAGGACAUGUCAUUUGUGCUCACCCAUGAACGAAAGGGCAGAGCUCGCCAAACGCACGGCGAGGUCAUCGAACACCAAACCUCGCAGCGAUCAAACAACUGCACAUUUAAAACUACCCGAUCUACACAAUUAUAUAUGAUGUUUUUCAUAACAAAAUCGAAAAAUAUAUGACCUAACUAAUAAUUCACAAAUAUAUGACCCCGUCGGCCUCUGGAAGGCCAAAGAACACCUUUUCGGGAGGUGUCGGGGGUCGGGGUGUCGUGUCGGUGUCGGGGUGCCGUGUCGGGGUCGGGGUGCUGUUUCGGGGUCGGGGUGUCGUGUCGGUGUCGGGGUGNNNNNNNNNNNNNNNNNNNNNNNNNNNNNNNNNNNNNNNNNNNNNNNNNNNNNNNNNNNNNNNNNNNNNNNNNNNNNNNNNNNNNNNNNNNNNNNNNNNNNNNNNNNNNNNNNNNNNNNNNNNNNNNNNNNNNNNNNNNNNNNNNNNNNNNNNNNNNNNNNNNNNNNNNNNNNNNNNNNNNNNNNNNNNNNNNNNNNNNNNNNNNNNNNNNNNNNNNNNNNNNNNNNNNNNNNNNNNNNNNNNNNNNNNNNNNNNNNNNNNNNNNNNNNNNNNNNNNNNNNNNNNNNNNNNNNNNNNNNNNNNNNNNNNNNNNNNNNNNNNNNNNNNNNNNNNNNNNNNNNNNNNNNNNNNNNNNNNNNNNNNNNNNNNNNNNNNNNNNNNNNNNNNNNNNNNNNNNNNNNNNNNNNNNNNNNNNNNNNNNNNNNNNNNNNNNNNNNNNNNNNNNNNNNNNNNNNNNNNNNNNNNNNNNNNNNNNNNNNNNNNNNNNNNNNNNNNNNNNNNNNNNNNNNNNNNNNNNNNNNNNNNNNNNNNNNNNNNNNNNNNNNNNNNNNNNNNNNNNNNNNNNNNNNNNNNNNNNNNNNNNNNNNNNNNNNNNNNNNNNNNNNNNNNNNNNNNNNNNNNNNNNNNNNNNNNNNNNNNNNNNNNNNNNNNNNNNNNNNNNNNNNNNNNNNNNNNNNNNNNNNNNNNNNNNNNNNNNNNNNNNNNNNNNNNNNNNNNNNNNNNNNNNNNNNNNNNNNNNNNNNNNNNNNNNNNNNNNNNNNNNNNNNNNNNNNNNNNNNNNNNNNNNNNNNNNNNNNNNNNNNNNNNNNNNNNNNNNNNNNNNNNNNNNNNNNNNNNNNNNNNNNNNNNNNNNNNNNNNNNNNNNNNNNNNNNNNNNNNNNNNNNNNNNNNNNNNCGGUGGGGUGGUGGGGUGGUGGGGCGACGGGGCGGCGGCGAGUGGUGGGGGCGGCGGCGCGCGUGUGAAGAGGGAGAGAAAUAGAGAGAGAGGGGCGGGAUGGGGCGUGGCCGUUAGAUAUGUUAAUUCUUUGUCGUCUGCUUUUUUGCUCUUUGCCGUCUGCUAGCAGACGGCAAAGAGGGGGCCGUUAAGUUUUUUUAAGCAGCUCGUCAGUGGGGCCCCCUCUUUGCCGUCUGCUAGUGGACGGCAAAGAACUGGCUGAUGGCAAAGAAGGUCUUUGCCAUCAGCCAAUUCUUUGCCGUCUGCUUUUGGGUAGCUGAUGGCAAAGAAGGUCUAAUCAUUUCAGCAAAGCGCUCAAAAUCCUCAUCAUCCUUUUUCUUGGAUGGUUUAGGAGGAAAGGGCAUGGAUUUCUGAACUCAUGGUUCUCUUUCUUUACCGUGCUUCCUAGAAACAAAGUCUCUUUUAUCAUAACAUUGAUUCUUUGAUUGUGGGUUAUCAAGAUCAACAACAGGUUCAAUCUCUACAUCAUUAUCAUUGCUAGGUUAACCAUUAACAUGAACAUCAUCAUGAACAUUAUCACUAGGUUCAUGUUCAUUACCAGAUUGUGUCUCAGCAUCAGAAAUAGAAAUAUCAUCGGGAUUCUCAGGUGUGUCAACAACAUGUUCACUAGAAGCAGGCAAAGUCCUAUCAUUUUUCUUUUUCUUCCUCUUAGAAGGACUAGGUGCAUCUACAUUAGUUCUUUGAGAAUCUUGCUCAAUUCUCGUAGGAUGGCCCUCAGGAUACAAAGGUUCCUGAGUCAUUUUGCCUCCUCUAGUCAUAACUCUAACAUCAUUAUCAUUCUUAUUAUUAUUUAAUUCAUUGAGCAAAUCAUUCUGAGCUUUAAGUAUUUGUUCUACUUGAGUGGUAACCAUAGAAGCAUGUUUACUAAUGAGUUUAAGUUCACCUUUAACUCUAGACAUAUAAUCACUCAAGUGUUCAAUCAUGUAAGCAUUGCAUUUCAAUUGUCUACCAACCUAAGCAUUGAAGUUUUCUUGUUUAACCAUAAAGUCAUAACACUCAUCUAAUCACUGACUAGCAAACUUAGUAGACGGGAUUUCAGCUUUAUCAUAUCUAUUGAGAGAAUUUACCUUUACUACCUAUGUCGGUUUAUCAAGACCAUGUAUUUCUUCAAUAGGCGGCAAAUUAAGACCAUGUAUUUCUUCAAUAGGUGGUAAAUUUUAACAUCUUCAGCUUUAAUACCUUUUUCUUUCAUAGAUUUCUUUGCCUCUUGCAUAUCUACAGGACUGAGAAAUAGAAUACCCCUAUUCUUCGGAGUUGGCUUAGGACUUAGUUCACGAAGUGUCCAAUUAUUUUCAUUAGUCAACAUAUUAUUCAAUAGCAAUUCAGCUUGAUCAACUAUUCUUUCCAUGAAAACACAACCAACACAACUAUCCAGGUAAACUCUGGAAGCAUCGGUUAGUCCAUUAUAAAAGAUAUCAAGUAUUUCAUAUUUCUUAAGAGGAUGAUCACGCAAAGCAUUAAGUAAUCGGAGAAGCCUCCCCCAAGCUUCUGGGAGACUCUCGUCUUCAAUUUGCACAAAAUUAUAUAUUUCCCUUAAAGCAGCUUGUUUCUUAUGAGCGCGGGAAUAUUUAGCAGAAAAGUAAUAAAUCAUAUCCUAGGGACUACGCACACAACCAGGAUCAAGAGAAUUAAACCAUGUUUUAGCAUCACCCUUUAAUGAGAAAGGAAAUAAUUUAAGGAUAAAGUAAUAGCGAGUUUUCUCAUCAUUAGUGAACAGGGUGGCUAUAUCAUUUAAUUUAGUAAGAUGUGCCACAACAGUUUCAGAUUCAUAGCCAUAGAAAGGAUCGACAGAGAAAUCAUAAUACUUAUCAGUAAUAAAGAUAGGUGAAGUAGCAAAAGUAGGGUCAUAUUUCGUUCUAGCAUUCAGAGAUUUUUCUUUCAGCUUAGCUAAUAAUUUCUUAAGAUCACUCCUAUCAUUGCAAGCAAGAAAGUCUCUAGGAGUUUCUUCCUCCAUAACAUAACCCUCAGGCACAACAGGCAAUUCAUAUCUAGGGGGAGAGUCUUCAUCAUCACAUUCAUCAAUAUUAUCAGUUUCAAUAAUAUCAUUCUCUCUAGCCCUAGCAAGUUGUUCAUCAAGAAAUUCACCUAGUGGCACAGAAGUAUCAAGCAUAAAAGUAGUUUCCUCAUAAAUAUCAUGCACGACAGAAGUGGCAUCAUCAAUAACAUGCGACCUAUCAGAAUCAAUAGCAGCAGUAGGUGUCGCAAGUUUACUCAUAAUAGAAGGUGAAUGAAGUGCAGAGCUAGAUGGCAGUUCCUUACCUGCCCUCAUAGUUGAGGGAUAAAUUUUGGUUCUUUGAUCUUUCAAGCUCUUCAUAGUGAUCAGCAGAUAUAAAUCCCAAGUGGCUCGAAGAAUAGAGCUAUGCUCACCGGCAACGGCGCCAAAAAAUAGUCUUGAUAAACCACAAGUAUAGGGGAUCGCAACAGUUUUCGAGGGUAGAGUAUUCAACCAAAAUUUAUUGAUUCGACAAAAGGGAAGCCAAAGAAUAUUCUCAAGUAUUAGCAGCUGAGUUGCCAAUUCAAUCAAACCUGGAUAACUUAAUAUCUGCAGCAAAGUAUUUAGUAGCAAAGUAAUAUGAUAGUAAUGGUAACAGUGGAAAAAGUAGCAGUAGCAGUUUUGGUUUUAUAGUGACUGUAACAGUAGCAACGGAAAAGUAACUAAGCGAAGAACAAUAUGUGAAAAGCUCGUAGGCAUUGGAUCGGUGAUGGAGAAUUAUUUUGGAUCCGAUUCCUCAUGUAAAAGUUAUAACCAAGGGUGACACAGAACUAGCUCCAGUUCAUCAAUGUAAUGUAGGCAUAUAUUCCGAAUAUAGUCAUACGGGCUUAUGGAAAAGAACUUGCAUGACAUCUUUUGUCCUACCCUCCCGUGGCAACGGGGUUCUAUUGGAAACUAAGGGAUUUUAAGGCCUCCUUUUAAUAGAGUACCGGAACAAAGCAUUAGCACUUAGUGAAUACAUGAACUCCUCAAACUACGGUCAUCACCGGUAAGUACCCCGUUAUUGUCACUUCAUGGUUAACAUAUCAUAACACAUAAUAGGUGACUAUAGACUUGCAAGAUAGGAUCAAGAACUCACAUACAUUCAUGAAAACAUAAUAGGUUCAGAUCUGAAAUCAUGGCACUCGGGCCCUAGUGACAAGCAUUAAGCAUAGCAAAGUCAUAGCAACAUCAAUCUCAGAACAUAGUGGAUACUAGGGAUCAAACCCUAACAAAACUAACUUGAUUACAUGCUAAAUCACAUCCAACCCAUCACCGUCCAGCAAGCCUACGAUGGAAUUACUCACGCACAGAGGUGAUCAUCAUGAAAAUGGUGAUGGAGGAAGGUUGAUAAUGACGAUGGCGACGGAUUCUCCUCCCCGGAGCCCCGAACAAACUCCAGAUCAGCACUCCCGAGAGAGUUUAGGGCUUGGCGGAGGCUCCGUAUCGUAAAACGCGAUGAAUCCUUCUCGCUGAUUUUUUCCUCCCCGAACACCAAUAUAUGGAGUUGGAGUUGAGGUCGGUGGAGCACCAGGGGGCCCACGAGGCAGGGGGGCACGCCCAGGGGGGUAGGAGCGCCCCCACCCUCGUGGACAGGGCGUGGCCCCCCUGGCCUUGAUUCUUUCACCAGAAUUUUUUAUAUAUUCCAAAAAUAAUCUACGUUGAUUUUCAGGUCAUUCCGAGAACUUUUAUUUCUGCACAAAAAUAACACCAUGGCAAUUCUGCUAAAAAUAGCGUUAGUCCAGGUUAGAGCAUCUCCUGUCGCGCCCCCAACAAGGCCCCCCAGGCGACUUUUUGGCCGCCGGCGCCAAAAAAUCGGCCCAGUCGCGCCCCAAGGGCCCAAUUUUCGCCAGCUCGGGCCGAAAUUGGCGCCGGCGGACCCAACCCGAACCCGACACGCUGGGGGGCACUCGGGGGCGCCGGGCGAAUCGUUUUUGGCGCGAAAGAGCCGCGGGCCCUCCUUGCCAGCGACUUGUCUCGCUUCUCGCCGCUUCGUCGUCCUCAUCGCCUCGUUUCCCACGGCGAAUCAAUGCCAAAGCUGCCGCGCCGGUCAGCCUCCGCCAUUGAUGCCUCACGGGCGGUGCAGUGAAGGCGUGACGACGUGCGUCCCCACGCAUGCCACGCGUAGACGAGGCCGCCACGCUUGCUCGCGCCGCCUCCGCCUAUAUAAGCCGACCCCAGCGCGCCGGUGGCGCGCACAGAGCCUCCCUACCGACGCACCCUAUCUCCCCUUCCUCCCUCUCUCCUCGCCGUCCCAGUUCGUAGAAAUGGCCGAACGAUUCCCAUGCGACGGCGCGGCGGCGAACGGCUUCGGCCGCCGCCACCUUCACGAAAACGAAGCUCGGCUCCUCUACGAGGCCGAGUACCCGGUCCCGCCGGACAUGCGGGUGCCCGGGGCGUGGAGAAUCAGCGCCGGCGGGGUCCCGGUGCCACCACCGCCCACCGGGAUGGCGCGUCGUGCGGAGAUCGCGCGUAUUCGUGCCUCUCUGCCACGGGCGGCGAGGGAGGGGCCGCGCUACGUCCCCGACAGCCCGCUCUGGGAGCCCUACUUCCACCGCCGUCACGCCGAGCAGCUCGAGGCCACCAACGGCGUCGUGCACUCCGGCAGGCUCAACUCCGAGGGGCGGCGCCGAUGGUGGGGCGUGCCCGGCCGCACGCUGGAGGCCAUCCUCGAGUACAUCGAGGGCGGCAACACGUCGAGGCUGGAGUACCCCUCCCCGCCAUCCUUCUCUCGCCGCUGUGGGAGCUCAUAGACACCGAGGCGCAUGGACCCCGGGGCGUGAUCCUCCUCGUCCGGUCGGUCGACCAGCUCUCCCUACCUCCGUCCCGUCAAGCCGGAGCCCCAGGACGACACGCCUGUCAGCCGGUGCACCCGCAGCUCCGGUGUCUGCGUCGCCGACUCCGCCCCCACCUCGGGCCGCCUUGUCCUCGUCGCGCCCAAACCGGAGCCCAGCCUCCGCCCGGAGUACGAGGAGAUAGCCCGGCGCAGCUUCUCCGACGCGGACGCCCUGCGGUGGGCGCGCGACGACUGCCUCUAGACGGAGAUGACCCGGUAGACUAGGGCCCUGGAGGAGAUCUCCGCCAGGAAGCGUGGGCGCAAGGACGAGCACGGCGUCAUGAUCCUCGACAGCAACGACGACGGGGAUGCCGCCGGACCGUCCAACCCGCCGCGCCAACCGGGGGAGGGUUGCAACAGGGACGUCGGCCACGACGGAGGCAGCGACGACGACGGCGGCGACUACAAGCGAUUCUACAGCCUCCUCGGCAUGUAGAACUACAAGGUCCGCGGCCGGCGAGGAGCGGCGAGGCGAGCGAGACGGCGGGUGAGCCUAGUACUGUGUUUUUUUGUAAAAUACUUUAAAUAUGUAUGAGCAGGCGUGUUUGUGCCGUGUUUGGUUGAAUUUGGAUUGAAGUCGCCGAAAUAUGCAUGAACUCGCCGUGUUUGCGCCGUUCAAAAAAAUCCCGUGGGUGUUGCGACUGGGUGGCAUCACGCCCCCAGCGCGCGUUUUGCGCCGGUGCGCCCCCAGGGGCAAUUUUUAGCGCCUCCUGGGGGGCAACGACUAGAGAUGCUCUUAGUUCCAUUCAAAUCAUGCAAGUUAGAGUCCAAAACAAAGGCAAAAGUGUUUGGAAAAGUAGAUACAUUGGAGACGUAUCACAGCCCCUUACGGAAUAGCACAUAAACAAACUAGGGUUUCAGCUUUUGUCACUCUAGCAACCCAUCAUCUAAUUACUACUCCAUAAUGCCUUCCGUAGCCCAAAUAUGGUGAUGUGUUAUGUAGUCGAUGUUCACACGACACCACUACGGGAAACAACAACAUACAUAUCAUCAAAAUAUCGAACGAAUACCACAUUCGCAUGAUUACUUAUGACAAGACUUCUCCUAUGUCCUCAAGAACAAAAGUUACUACUCACAAAUCAUAUUCGUGUCCAAGAUCAGAGGGUUAUUGAAUAGUAUUAAGGAUAUGAACAUAUAAUAUUUCACUAAAUAAACCGUCUAGAACUAACUACAAGAUGUAAUCAACACUACUAGUCACCCACAUGUAUCAAUCUGUGGUUUUGAGACAAAGAUUGAAUACAACAUAUCAAAAAGGGUUUGAGAUGAGAUUGUACUGGUGAAGAUGUUAAUGAAGAUUAGUCCUCCCAUGAUGAGAGAGUUGUUGGUGAUGUCGAUGGCUUCGAUUUCCCCUACCGGAGGUAAGUAUCCCCGGUGAAAUCACUCCGCCGGAGAGCAAAAGUGCUUCUGCCCAGGUUACGCCUCGAGACGGCGGCGCUUCUCCCAAAAGUCGUCUCCUUAUUUUUUUUUUCUAGGCCAAAUGAAUUCUUAUAGUAGAAGACGAGCCUCAAAGGAUGGCCAGGGGCCCCACUCACUACCAGGGCACGCCUGGGUGCCUCGUGGGCACCUGGUGGCCCCCUCUGGUAUUUCUUUUCUCCAGUAUCUUUCAUAUAUUCCAAAAUAAUUCUUCGUGAAAUUUCAGCUCAUUUAGAGUUGUGCAGAAUAGGUAUAUCUGAUGUAGCUUUUUGAGGUCCAGAAUUUCAGGUGCCGGCAAUCUCCCUCUUCAUAUAAAUCUUGCAAAUUAAGAGAGAAAAUUCAUUAGAAUUGUACCACAAAGUAUUAUAUUGAUAAAAAACAUCAUAAAUAACAAUAGGUAAACAUUAUGAAAAAUGGACGUAUAAACUCCCCCAAGCUUAGACCUCCAUUGGUCUCAAGCAAUAGCCGAUAUCGAUAAACAUGACCACAUGUUUAGAGAGAGAUGUGUCGCUAAAAACGAAAUGCAGACAUAGUAACAUCAUGAUCAAUAUCAUACCAGCAAUACAUUGUAUCAUAAAACUUCUCAUGAGAAAGUAACAAUUCAUCACAACAACGAAGCAUAAGGCAUAAACUUUCUGGAAGACUAACAAACUAUGUUCUAAUUAAGUCAAUAAUGCAAUUACUAUUCAUCAUAUUUUCAGGAAGGGUCUCAUGUAAGAGCUUUUGUUUUGCAAGUCCACAUAUUCAAACUAUCAUUUAGUCUUCUAUGGCUGCUGACACUCACGGCAUAUAUAUGGAGCAAAAGUUCCAGUCAGACACAUAGAAAGAUAGGGGCUUAUAGUUUCGCCUCCUAACUCAUUUACCUCAAGGUUAAUGUCAACAAUAAUAAAAAAUGACCAUGUACAUCUAACUGGACAUAUAUGCCUAUAUCUUUCCUCACCACAUGAUGCUUGCAAAAAAAGAAAAAGGAAUAGAGGAGAACACUAUUGACUCUUGCAUGAAGACUAAAUACAUAAGAUGUAAAAGAUUGGCCCGUCGCGGAGGGAAACAAAGGUUGUCAUGCGCUUUUUGGGUUUUGGAUGUGCAAGCUUCUAAUGUAAAGGAACGUCACUUUAUAUUGCCCCUUGUGAUAGCAAACAUUAUUAUGUAGUCCGUCGCUUUUAUUUUUUUACCAUCACAAGAUCGUACAAAGCUUAUUUUCUCUUACAAUAAAAGAUCAUACAUAUUUAGAAACAAUUUUACUGCUUUAUGCACCGAUGACAACUUACUUGAAGGAUCUUACUCAAUCCAUAGGUAGAUAUAGUGGACUCCCAUGACAUGCAACUUGAGUUAAGGAUUUUGGAUGUACAAGUAGUAUCUCUACUUGGUACGGAUUUUUGGCUAGCAAACAUAUUGAGCAAACACCAGAUGUUGGAGCAUUUAUAACAAUAUAAUUUCUAUCUGAUUAUAAGCAAUCAUAACUCAUUACGUUGUCUUUCUUGUCCGACGUCAACAAUUUGUAAUGGAAUACUUAAUGAGGGCUCACAAUCGUAAAAGAUGUCCAAGAUAAUAUAUUUAUAACUGAAUCUUCUCUUCUUUUAUUAACUUCUUCAUGACUUGUAUCAUUAACCAAUACUAUGUUUGUUAACUUUUUAAAAAGUUUACCACUUAUACUUUUCUUUAUGUAAAGUCAUUACUUUUCAUGGGAUUAGCAUAUAUAUGAUAUUUUCAAUAUGUACCUCAAGGAUACAAUAAAACUGUGAUCCUAGUAGCCCCCGAGACUCUGAACAAUUUGCAAAACCAAACCGAGGAUCUAAUUCUCGCUUUGGAGCAUACUUUACGAAAGAACACGGUAAAGUAGCUAGUCUUCUCGAAAACGGUAUUGCGCUUUAAAUUUCCUGCAUUGAAUCGUCAAUGCAGUAGCCUCGAGACUGAGGUUGGGCAACAAGUCCGACCUGAGGAUCGCAUCUCCUUUGGCACAGUUCGCUGAGAACACGUAGCUAGCGAAUUUGACAUUUUGGGGCUGCUCAAGCAACCUGCUGCUGUUUAUCUUCAGUGAUAUAAUAAGAUAACAGGGUGCUCUUAAGGAAUUAAGGAUAUUGCCCAUCCUCAGUUCUUUCAUGCGACUCACGCUUUGUGGAAACCCUUGGCGCUCAUCAGUAACAAAAAGUUGUGCGGUUCCGAAAUCUGAAACUUUUGAAGCAGAUGAAUUAACGUGACUUGCAUGGAUUCGAGUGUCUCUAGAAGCCUCAGUUUUUCUGUCCCAUUUGGAAGGCUUGUAAUUAAAAGCGUUCCCAAGGCUCAGAUGUUUUAGAAGCAGAAGGUUGUCUAUUUUAUUUUAGAUGAUCAUCCAAGUGGGCACAUUCUUCAACAUCUAGAGAUUAGGAUUCUCAGCAUGUAGACACUUGCGGCCAUGCUAACAAGAGCAAAUGGUUGGCCUUCACUUCUCAUCAGAAUUUCCUUUUCUCCAUGUAAACUGAAGCUUUCUUCAAGAACAAUCGUUUCGAGUGCUGUUUCUUAGUUACCUGGUCUUCUUACUUUUUGCACAUAGCCCUUGCUAGAGUUGCAAGCGUUAAAUACUGACUGCAUAGUGGUAGUCACCAUUACUCUGCUACUUGCACCAAAAUUCAAAUUCCAUGAUACUCCAGUGAUCUGUUUCCAUAUCGUGUCGAUUACAAUGAAAUACCUGAAACAUAUAUCAGGAAAUGAUUAUUUUAAGCUAGGAUCAUGGGUUCAGUGAGCAGUCAAAAUUUAGCAUGUUGUAGCAGAAUUUGUGGGGAGGCGUGUAGAGUUAAUUAAACUUACCUCUUGUUAUGCAAGUGCUCUCUGAUAUCCGCAGCAAGCAAGUGUGACAUAGGAGCCAUCAGACACCAGCCUACCAAGUUGGUGCUCCCUUUCAUUUAUUUUACGAGAUUAUCCUUCGUUAAGAUGACCACUUUAUAGAGGAACCAAUCAAAAAAACUUGAGCAGAACUUUAGUUUUUCAAAUGUGUUUUCUACAAGAAGUCCAGCGUUAAUAAGACCCGCACACACUAAGAAAAGACAAGGAGUCAAUCAUGAUCGUAACGAGUCUGGUUCGUUAGUUAAGUUGAUCGACAUGAACCGACGUACUAAAUCAAACAAAGCGGUCCACUUAUCUAAACUAAGGCUCGCCGAAACUAGUCACUCAACGGACUUGUCACUGAUAGAUAUGGUAUUAGCAUCAACCUCCUUCCGUUGCACAAUAUCAUAACAGUUCAGGUAUUGUAAGGCCAAUGGCUCAUCUCCUAGUCAGGUAUCCUACCAGAAUCUCAUAAUACGACCAUCACCCACUCUAAAACCGCCUCUACUAAAAAAAUGCAGUCUAUACAUUCAUCAAGACCUUCCAAAAUGGUGAGUUCAAGAUCUGUGCCGUUGCUCAAGAUGAUGUCUUGGAGUGGAGGUAUUUAUUGUGUAGCAACUCUUGCCACACCCCCUCCUUCACUAAGUAACAUAUAUAGCCAUUUCCUAAGAAUAUCCCACCCCCUUGGUCUUUUGUCCUAGAAAGAAUAUCCCAGUUCUCCGAGCGAUAUUUCCUUCUAUAUUCAUUGCACUGCCGGAAGAAUUUGGAUUAGUAGUAAUCCAGUCUUUUGUGUGCCCCUUUUGAUACUUUAAAAAAUUAGAGCAUCAAUAUAUUUAGGCUGGUGAGCACAGAGUUGACUAGGAGCAGACAUCCUCCAUAGGUCAUAAGUUUUGUUUUUUCAAAGAACUGAGCUAUUUUUCAAACCAGUCUUACUGUUCACUAGUAGGGCAGAAGUGCGGCGUGAUGCCGCUCCCGUGGAAGUUCCCGCUGUUGGUAUUAUUUUUUCAACCACUUAAUACUGGUACAUGUCAUGAAUCACAAACACAUAAGACACCAAAAGCCUAAAAAAAUCAAGAUCUUUAUACAAAUCUUGAACAGUAAGACCAUUAUGAACGCUCGUCGGUGCUUUUGGUUCUUCUAGAUUCUGCAUACAAAUCUUGAACAGUUGGACAUCGGACAAUCGAUUUGACAGUACAAACUAUUAACAAGAAUACAAAAAUAUUCAGAUAAUUUCUUAUUGCUUAGUCAAAGCUAAACCCCAACUAUAGCAAGGUUCAGGGUACGGUGGCAGAGUUUAAAAUUCAAAUGCAAGGUAAACACAACACAACAAGAUACAAACCUAUCUCGGGUCCAAGGCUCAAGAGCCACAGAUGCACACGAUACAAACCCGAAGGGGGCCUUGGCUAAUAAGACGAAACACACACGCACAAACACUAAACCGAGAAAGACCACAAUAGCGACGACGAACAUCAGCCUCCAUCUCUAUGACGCUCCUCCUUGUGUCAAAUAAUGAAGGCAAAGUUGUCGAAUGAGAGGAGCAUCAAGGAUAUGACGAUGAAGAUCCCUUGGUCGGAGGCCUUGUGUUCGAUGAAGAUCC
rnacentral:lncRNA from 1 species